UGCUUUGUAAAUUUAUUAUAUAUAAUUUAUAAUAUUUUAACAUAUGCAAACUCUCUCUCUCUCUCGGGAAAUAAGAAUGGCAACUUCACAUUCUCUUUCUUUUCUCCUCUUCUUUCACUUGGUCUUUUCUCUUGGUUUUACUUCCUUUGCGUCAACUCAAUACUCUCGAUCAUCCAUUGCUUCUGACCAGAUCAAGUUCUGGUCUGAAAAUGUGCACAACAAAAUGCCCGAUUCUGUCUUCAAAAAACUAUCCCCAUUAACAAAAAGGGAUUGUGAUUAUUACAAAAAGCUGAUAACCAAAAUAGAUUUCUCAGAAAAUCCUAGUUUUUGCUCACUUGCUAAACUCUCUUGUUCAUCCGGAUUACACGAUGGUGGGGGGCAAAGAGCUACCAAUACGUACAGUAAUAAUGGUGCAUUACCUGUCAACUCCAAUACGGCAGACAAAUUUUCUUACUUCAGAAUCUCAACCCUUACAGAAGGAAAUAAAUUCCAUCUCUCAGAUUUAGAAGAAAAAAUUCCAAAUCGAGCAUUUCUCCCUCAAGAAAUAGCAUCAAAAAUUUCUAUCAGCAGAAAAAGAAUUAGAAAACUAUUUCCCAAGUCCUUUGAACUGUCAAAACAUUCUAUGGAAACGACACUUUCUUAUUGCAAUGCAGAAGCUAUAAAGGGAGAAAUCAAGAAUUGCCCAAAAUCCCUUGAAGAAAUGAUUAGCUUCUCGAAGUUCGCCUAAGGCAAAAAGGAGUUACUCGUACUGGCUUCAGAACGCACAAGAAGAAGUGAAUUCCUGAUAAGAAAGAUCAAGAAAUUUGAUAGGCAGAAUGUAGUGGCCUGCCAUGAAGUUUAUCUUCCCUUUGCAGCCUAUUUAUGCCAUUCAACCUCUUCAACUCAAAUCUAUGCUGUAGACUUGAUUGAACCCGAGACUCGACUCCCAGUUAGCACUGUGAUUGCGAUAUGUCAUAUGGAUACCUCAGCUUGGCCUGCAAAUCACGUGGCAUUUAAAAUUCUGAAAUUCUCCCCUGGAGAAGGCGAGGCAUGUCACUGGAUGUCGAACAUUGAUCUUGCAUGGAUUGCGGUUGACUAGACGGUAUGAAAUUGGAAGGUGUGUACUUGAUCUACAGCGAUGAAGUAGACGUAAUUCUUGAGCAGUUGAGGAAACUCGGUCAACGUGGCUUGUAAAUUAAGAUUGUAUAGAAGCUUGAAUUCAGUAGGUUUGUGCAACAAAGUCAUCUUUCUUAUCAUCAGAUCCUAUAUUAAAUUGAUGGGCAGAGGUGAUCUAUAAGUGUACCUUUUUCAUUGCUAUUCUGAAAUGUUGAGGAAAUCUUGGUUCAAAUCCUAUAGGAUUGAAGUAUGUUCUCAAAUAUAAUUAUAUAUUUACCUUCAAAUAUUGAGAUGAAGAUGUUCCACCGUAGUCUGUGAAUUACAUUUAUCUCGGCAAUUAAAAGUAAUCUUUAGAAGUGAUUAAUAUGUGUUUCAUACUUGGCCUCUGUUUGGCUUAGAUUUUAAUUAGAUUUAAUUCCAAAUCAAAGUCAAAUAAUCAAUAUUAACUACAUCUUUCAUGGAUCCCACAACUUUUUAAUCACACAUUUCAAAAACUUCCAUCAAAAUCUACUAAAAAUCUAAUUUUAAUCCCCACCGAAUACCCUCUUGAUCAUAUUAGUUUAUUGAUUAUUUUAGGAGAAAAACGAUAUUGGACGAGGAUGGAUGAAAAGAAAUGAUAAUUUUUUAAAAAUGAAAAAGUUCGACAUAUGUAAGAAGUUGGGGACCAAGGAAUCAAGUUUGAAAGUUGAAAGGCUUCAAUUGCAAUAUAUGAGGAUUCAAUCUGAGCAAAACGAGGAAACGUGAACAAAUUUAAACAAGUGAUAGUAUAAUUUUCAGCAAUUUGGAAUAUCCUUAAUUGACUUAAAUUACGAUUCUCUAUCAACUUGGGACUCUAUUUUAGACCUAAAUUGACGUCUAAAAUAUGAAUAUUUCAUUCAAAAUUAAGGGUGGCUAGAUAUACAAUCUUGAGGCAAAAUAAUUACACAUUCAGAUUCAUCGAACCCUCGAGAUUUGCAUCUCAAUUUGGAGUUUGAGGAUUGAAGAACACAACUAGCCGAGAGAUAUAUCUACUUUGAAGAGAAAAUUGAUGAUACAAUAUUGGAAAUUGAGUGUCAAAGAACAACAAUUGUUAGGAUUCUUUUCUUUUUAUAUCGUAUCGGACUCCGUGAGUUUUUUAAUCCUUUAAUUUUUUUAUUCCACAAUUAUGAAUGGAUAAAUAAUUAGUUAUGAUGAAUGACGUAGCUUAGAUUUAAUAUUUAUUUAAUUCAAAAGAUUUCAUGUAACUUUGUCUUUAGCGUGGCACUUGCCUUUUCCCCAGCUGCCAUUAGGUUAUUAACUGUAUUCUAGAAUCUAGUAAGCUCGAUUUUAACAACAACUAACAUUUAGUUGCUCGAUCACAAAUUUAUUGGUUUAAGCACGAUACUGAGAACGAAAUGAAGUAUAUUUGUUUAAUUCGUGCAAUAUGUGACAUGUGUUUUUAUAAGAGAAUGAGAGGUAAUUAUAGCCUUUGCAAUCUUGAUUGAAUUCCUACAAAUUAAUGCCUUUACAUGUGUAUGAAUUUAUAUAGGGAUAUAUUAAAUUCGAGUAUGUGAAUAGGUCUAGUUUUACUCGAGAAAGACUAUUAGCUAAAAUUGGUUAAUUCCAUUAUUAAUACAUAUGAAAAAGGGGUUGAAUGAUGUUGGAUUGGACAAAUGUUAAUAGCCUAAGUGAAAUUGGUGUUCCUAACCACUUAAUCCUUAAAGUUCUCCACAAAUUAGUUUAGUUAGGUUAAAUUAGAAUAUUUUAGUAUAAAUUACUUAUAAAACAAAUACUUGAUUUGAAAAGUUUUUACAACACUAAUUUAGAUUGAAGCCAGAUUUAAGAUAAAAAUUGAUAGUAAGUAUUUAAUAUUUGUGAGUAUAAUACUUGUACUCAAAAUUCACUAUUAUUACUUGUAUUAGUUCAUACACUAGUGGAAUUACGCUAUCAGUCUGCAUUUGCUAUAACAAUGAGAACAAAAUUGAGUUGCUAUACGUAUUUCCUCUCCAUACUGAAUUACCAUAUGGCUAGUACCCUAAAGUUCCCUAAAAACCCACAGCCUUGAAAAAAAUACAUAACGAACAUAUGUAAAUAUGUGGACUCAAAGGUCAUAAGUUUUAGGCUUGUGUCGAACCUUGGCUAAAUGUAAGAGAGCUCCAUUGGUCUAACGGGCAGACCAAUUGUUGGGAAAACACCUCCCAAAGAUUGUCCAAGAUCAAACAAACUUACAAUGUGAAAAAAAAAUCCCAAACCACUUCAAAGAUAAGAAAUUGGGGAAGAAAUGAUUUUUCAAUAUAUAUGAAGAACAAUGGAUUGGAUUACUUGAACAAGCCUCAAGUUAAUCCCCAAGAAAGAAAAAUAGCUUUGAAUUUAUACCCAAGAAGAACAAUCUCUUACUUGUUAAAUUCUCUUCAAUCUUUUCUCUAUUUUUCUCUCUCAAAAUUGGAUGAUAAAUGAAGGGAAAAAUAGCAAUAUAUAUAGAACUAAAUCAGGCGCCAUGGCGCCUGCAUCACUGCUCCAUCCUUUCAAUUUGGGCGCCAUGGUGCCUGCCUCCCUGCACCUUUCUUUCUUACAAAUCUUCACCUCGUACAUCAUUUGAUAGACCUCAAAUUUUGGACGAAUACAAGAAGAAGUAGCAAGCGCCAAACUCGGCUGCACCAUUCAAACCAUGGUUGCCUACGUACCCAAAACUCGGGAUCAAGUCUCCGUAGUUCACCUCCACCUUCAUGUACUCUUCACCUCAUUUCAACCUCGCCCCAAAGAGCCAUUCCCACUCGGGCAUAUCAACACGGACUAAUGUGAAGCAAGUCCAAGCAAUACUGAAACUUGCUACCUGUUACCACUUUGGUUAACAUGUCUGCUGGGUUCUCAUUUGUGUGUACCUUCAAGAGAGAAAUAUCACGUUCCUCUAUGACAUCACGCACAAAAUGAUACCUGACGUCGAUAUGCUUGGUUCGAGCAUGAUGAACCUGAUUCUCAGCCAAGUGAGUCGCACUCUGGCUAUCACACCACAAGUCCACGUAAUCCUGCUCAAUCCCCAAAUCAUCUAGAAGACCCCACAACCACAAUGCUUCUUUCACUCCCUCUGCCAUGGUCAUAUACUCGGCCUCUGUAGUAGAAAGAGCCACUGUAGCCUGUAACAUCGAUCGCCAACUAACUGGGGCACCAUGUAUGCAAAACACAUAUCUAGUAGUAGAUCGUCGUCUAUCUAGAACACCUGCAUAAUCUGAGUCCACAAACCCACUUAUAUGACAUGCAUCUCCACCAAAACAUAAACCCGUAUUCGCGGUACCUUUUAAGUACCUCAGGAUCCACUUCACAGCUUCCCAGUGUGCCUUCCCCGGAUUCGCCAUGAAUCUAUUGACCACACUAACCGCCUGUGAAAUAUCUGAGCGUGUACACACCAUGGAAUACAUCAAACUGCCAACUGCACUAGCAUAAGGUAGACGAUCCAUGCGUACCUUUUCUUCCGCUGUAGUAGGAGAUUGUUUACCAGAGAGCCUGAUUUGUGGAGCCAAUGGAGUCACCACCGACUUUGCACCUUGCAACCCGAACCUAGCAAUAACCCGCUCAAUGUAGCCUUUCUGACUCAAGAACAUUCGCCGGUUCGUCCCCUCUCUUCUAAUCUCCAUACCCAGUAUUUUCCUAGUAGCUCCCAUAUCCUUCAUCUCAAACUUUUUAUCAAGUUGAGAUUUCAACCUAUCUAUCUCCACCUUGCUCUUCGAAGCGAUAAGCAUGUUAUCCACAUACAAAAGAAGAUAGAUAUAGUUACCUUCUCGAAGUUUUCUAAUAUAAACACAACAGUCAUAAUCACUUCUGGAGAAACCAUGCUUUAGCAUGAAGGAGUCAAAUCGCUUGUACCACUGCCAAGGAGAUUGCUUCAAUCCAUAUAGUGAUUUUCUCAAGCGACAUUCCUGAAGUUCCUUAUCCUCAACCUUAUAGCCCUCAGGUUGAUGCAUAUAUAUUUCCUCAUCCAAGUCCCCGUGCAAGAAGGCGGUUUUGACAUCAAGUUGUUCCAGCUCAAGAUCAUGAUGAGCAACAAUACUCAAUAGCACCCGAAUGGAAGUAUGCUCGACCACCGGAGAAAAGAUCUCAUUGUAGUCAACUCCCUCUCUUUGUGCAAAUCUCUUAGCCACUAACCUUGCUUUGAAUCUUGUACCACCGAGCUUGCUAAAAUCCUCUUUCUUUUUGUACAACCACUUGUAACCAAUAGCUUUCUUACCUAUGGGCAAUGGGACAACCUCCCAUGUUUGGUUCUUGUGAAGUGAUUCCAUCUCUUCUUCCAUCGCUGCCAACCAACUCUCACUAUUGUUGUUUAAAAUAGCUUCCUUGAAAGUGGCAGGCUCAUCAUUCUCCACCGAGAGUGUAUACUCAACCAAAUUUGUUUACCCAUAGUGCCUCACAAGCUCGUCUGACCCCAACUUUAAAACUUGCUUGUAAGUACGCCGUGGCCUAGAGAAAGCCAAGUUAUCUGCAAGCUGUUGUUGUUGCUAUGCCUGUACAUUCUCUUGUUGAACCGCCUCUUGUUCAAGCUCAUCACCACUCUCAUCUUGAGUGUCUGCAUGAUGCUUCUCUUGAACAUGACUAGAACCAGGUUGAUCUCUAGGUUCUAUUUCAACAACUUGAGACUUUGUAGUCUCAACAUCAUCAUCACCGGGCACUGUAGCUUUCAACGAAGCUAUCAUGGAGUUCUCAUCAAAAGUAAUAUCUCUGCUGAUUAUGAAUUUAGAAUCCUCUACACACCAUAGGCGAUAGCCUUUAACACCUGCCGCAUACCCCAAGAAUAUAGCCUUCUUGGCCUAGCAUCAAGCUUUCCCUUGUUGACGUGAUAGUAGGUUAUGCAUCCGAAUAUUCUGAGUUUCUCAUAAUCUGCAUAUUCUCCUGUCAAUACCCUGUAAGAUACAUCUCCAUCUAACCUUGAAUGUGGAGACCGGUUCACAAUGUAGCAAGCAUUUGCAACUGACUCUGCCCACCAUUCUCUGCCCAAACCAGCAUAGGAUCGCAUACACAUCGAUUUCUCUCGAAUUGUGCGAUUCAGUCUUUCUGUGACCCCAUUCUGUUGCGAUGUAUUCCUAACUGUCCAGUGUCUCGCAAUGCCUUCCUUAUCACAGAACUCCUUGAAAGCACCAUCUGUAUACUCAGUACCGUUAUCAGAUCGCAGUGUCUUCAAUUUCUUUCCUGUUCUGUUUUCAACCAUUGCUUUCCACUUCUUGAAAGUGUCGAAUACCUCAUUCUUAUGCUUCAAAAAAUAAAUCCAAGCAUAUCUAAAAUAAUCAUCAACAAAUGUGACAAAAUACCUGAAACCGCCUUUGGAAGUGACAGAAGCCGAACCCCAUACAUCCGUGUGCACAUAGUCUAGAAUACCUCUGCUUCUAUGUUUGCUUGGCUGAAACUGAACUCGGUGUGCUUUACCGUGCACGCAAUGCUCGCAAACAUCCAUGCAAGGCUUCUUCAAGUUCUUUAGCAAGCCUUUCUUGACUAGCAGAUCUAGCCCCUUUUCAGACAUAUGCCCAAGCCUCAUAUGCCAUAGCCGGGUGCACUCACAUGGGUCUCCACCACUUCCACUUGUUCCAACCGCUAAAUCUUCUGUAACUGUAGUACCCUGAAGAGCAUAGAGAUUGCCUUCACGAAUACCCUUCAUCACAAUCAAAGAACCACGAACAGCCUUCUUUACUCCAUUCCAUGUUACAAUCUUGCAACCACCGGAGUCUAAGGCACCAACAGAGAUAAGGUUCUUCCGCAAAUCAGGAACAUAUCUAACAUCCAUCAAUGUUCUAACCACUCCAUCAUACAUCUUGAUUCUUAUUGAACCGAGCCCUACCGUUUUACAGGAAUGGUUAUUACCCAUCAACACGGUUCCACCAUCAGUGCUUCUAUAGGUAGUAAACCACUUCCUAUUUGGACACAUAUGGUAAGAGCAUCCAGAAUCAAGAAUCCACUUACCGGAGAUUUCUCUAUCACAAGUGAUGGUGUAGCACUCAUCGCCUUUCCCUCCUUCCGGGGCAUAGCUAACCUCUUGCUUGACUUGCACCUUCCCGUUGUUGUUAUUCUUAUUGUUCUUCUUCCAACCCCUUUUGUUAGUACAAUUUGCCUUGAAAUGCCCAAGCUCGCCGCAUUUGAAACAAGGCCUUUCCGAAAGAGGUCUAGAACUCGAUCUAGAUUUUUCUCCCUUACCCUUUGGUCGCACAUUGCUUCUACCUCUUACAAAUAAUCCUUGAGCUUGCUCCUUGUUACCAAUGGUAGACAUGCCACUAGUUACAAUCUUUCGAAGAUCAUCCGCUAGAAGUGACGUUCUAGUGUCCUCCAUCACAAGUUUAUCACCUACAAGCAUCAAUGUUUGUACUAGGUUCUCGACUUUGGCAAUGAAAGAAGUAGUAGAAGAGCUUGAUCCUCAUCAUCUACUUUCACAUCAAUGUCCUUCAAGUCCGAUAUGCACCUAUCAAACUUGUUGACGUACUCCCGGAUUGGUGUACCUUCAUCCAUCUUGCAAGUAUACAAUUUGGACUUCAAAUAGAUCCAAUUAGUUAGAGUCUUCGUCAUGAAGUUCGUCUCCAACUUUGUCCACACCUCCGCCGCCGUUUCCUCACCAUCAACCAAGAAAGCAACAUCUCUUUCAAGGCAUAGAAUGAUAGACGCUCGUGCCUCAAGAUCUAGCUCUUUCCAAUCCUCGUCAGACAUAUCUAUAUGCUUCUUCUCCUUUCCCGCCAAUGCCUUGUACAACUUUUGAGAAAUUAACAAAUUUUUCAUUUGCAUUCUCCAAUAUGAGAAGUUAUUCUUCCCAUUGAAUUUCUCUAUCUCAUACUUCCCAAUCUUUACCGUUCUUCUAGUAGACAUGAUUUAUCUACUUGUUUAUCGGAAAUAAACCAACAAAGUACACUUGGAAAUUUUCACAAACACCUUGUGUGCACAACAAAGUUCAAGCCAACCACCAAAAAUCGGAGCUUAACCACCAUAAUUUAAGAAGAUGCUCUGAUACCAAAUUGUUGAGAAAACACCUCCCAAAGAUUGCCCAAGAUCAAACAAACUUGCAAUGUGAAAAAAAAUCCCAAACCACUUCAAAGAUAAGAAAUUGGAGAAGAAAUGAUUUUUCAAUAUAUAUGAAGAACAAUGGAUUGGAUUACUUGAACAAGCCUCAAGUUAAUCCCCAAGAAAGAAAAAUAGCUUUGAAUUUAUACCCAAGAAGAACAACCUUUUACUUGUUAAAUUCUCUCUAAGCUUUUCUCUAUUUUUCUCUCUCAAAACCGGAUGAUAAAUGAAGGGAAAAAAGCAAUAUAUAUAGAACUGAAUCGGGCACCAGUUUCGUGCAGAAACUUGGGCACCAUGGCGCCCGCAUCACUGCUCCAUCCUUUCAAUUUGGGCGCCAUAAGUGGGCGCCUGCCUCCCUGUACCUUUCUUUCUUACACCAAUGCAUUACUAGAGAAAGAGUCUAAGGGCUUCAAGCUGCUUAGUAAUAAAUACUUGUCCUUUCCCGUUAUGGCUUGAUGUCAAAAACUAUGCACAUAUAGUAACACUAUAAUAUGACUGUCCAAAAAUUCUUUAAUAUAGAAUUUAUGAUUAAAUCCAACGGACUUAGCCCUUGUUUGAGCCCAUCUUAUCAAAAAUUUAUUUUUUCAAAACUUAUUUUCAAUCACAAUUCUCCAAAAAAAUAAUGUUACAUGUAAAUUGAAAACUUUUUCUUAUUUUUUAACAACACAUUCUCCAAAAAACAUUAUUCCAAAAAUACUUUUUUUUCCCUUCCAAAUGGGGCUCUAACAAUGGCUUGAUAAAAAUUUGAAGUCAAUUUCUGUAUCUUUAGCUAAAAUUACAUUUUUCAAUAGUAAACUAAGAGUUUGUAUUAAUUUUCUUUGAAUUAGUGAUCACAUUUAAUAUACUACAAUCCUAUGAGAUCAUUCAACUUCAGACAUGCUAUCUUGAUGCCUAACGAGUAAAUACAAUUGUUGAAUGGAACAUGCAUUAGUAGACGUGUCAAAAUAAAAUGAUAUAACGCUAAAAAUAUUGAUGGCCGUCCAUGUUAGAAUUUGUAAACUUGUAUCAUAUUUGUUUUGGAAGUGUUGUACUGUGUCAAUAUCCUUGUUGCAUUCCAUCUUGCUGCAUAUUGAACAAGCGUGGCACUCUGUCCUCAGAUAAAGAGGUAUAACAAAAUAUCGAUCAAUAAUCUCGUUGAUUUCGUGAAAUUUUGAGAGAGAUCGAAAAAUAGUUUGAGCCGUUGACCCCCGGUCCACCUCUUAUUAGGGUAAAAGCCAUGAGGUAUAGACUUAUAUGGGGAGUACUAUAUAAGCACUUGAUAUGGGUACAAGUUCAUCAUCUAUUACGAAUUUUGAAGAUUGUUUAUGAUUUAUUAUGAGUUCAUUUUGCAUUUUAAUAGUGUUUUGGAUUAUGGUGAGGCUUACGAAUCCUCUCAUGAAAGAAAAAUGCUUAAGAAUCCAAUAACGCCUUUCUUAAAUAUCGAUUGUCCGAGCCCUUUUGGGGAAAUGGUUAGAAAAUAUGUCAAGAUAAUAUGGCUGAUUUUGUCUUGAAAGCUUGAUGAAAUAGAGAUGGGAACACUCUUGAUCAUGCUUUGGAAUGAUUGGCGAAACAGAAAUGAUAGUCUACGAAUGGGGUUGUUGGAAAAUAAUUAGUUGCAGUAACUUGUAGAAUAGUAAAAUGUAGAAAUAAAACUUAUCGACUGAUCGAGUUUCGUGACAGCACGAUGUUUUAAAGUGAAACUGUCCAUCAAUAACUGCUGGAACAUCUGUGGACCUAUGUAUUUGGGUAGAGUUUAGGCUGGAAAAAAUAAGUUUGGCUGGAGUAUAUUUUGUGGGUUGGGGGAUUGGGGUAGUUUAGUGGAUAAGGGGUUUGCUUGUUGAAUAGCACAUUCAAGGAUGGCAAUAGCAACAACGUAGAAUAAACCCUUUUUUUUUUUUUGGGUGUGAACAUUUCCCCAUGAAUAGUAACUUUUUUUUUCCAACCAAAAGAAAAUUGAAAAAUUGAAAAUUGCUGUUUUUACGCUAAAUCCUUUUCACUUCUACCGUUCCAACAAAUUUUGGGUAGAAGACAUGAAGAAGUUUUGGAUUGUGGAUUAAGCUAACCCAAGUUUUGGCUUUGAUAACAAUUUGAUGUAGCACCAAUAAAAAUACCCAAUGGAGAAUAAGAAAACCAAUCAGCAGGAAGAAGAAAUCAGAGGCAGAGAUGGCAAAAGAAGAAAUUAGUAGAAGGAGGAGAAUAAUGAAGAGAGGAAACUUUCAUCACAAGCCACCAAAUGAUUUUAUUCAAUCUCAAGUGUUUCAAUUUCAUGACAAACUAGAUUUAAAUAACAAAAAGAAAUCCUAAAGAGAAUGGGUUUGGGUCAAACCCUUAUACAAGCCCAAUUAUAUAAAUAAGAGUCCCAACAUAAAUAAAAGUCCAACUAGAAAACAAAUAAAAUGGAUGUCCUUAUCAGAAUGUCUUGAUUUGGUUAUAAGUUAGAUUCCUUUCUAUCGUUGAAAAAGUAGAUAUGUGUAUCUAUUUGACUUUCAUAUAUAUUGUCUAUGGAAGCUUUAAAUGCCUUGUUUCUCUUCUGGAUAUGAGUAAGACAAUAUAGAACUACAGUAAUCUUGAAGUAAUACUGUUAGUGGUAUGCAGUUCUAUUAGUAACUAUGAAUUGCAUUGAUUAUAUAACACUUACUAAAUGCCAAGUCUUUUAUGGUCAAGUUUAGAAUGUGAAUUGAAAAGGAUGAACAUGAUGAUUGAUAAAUUUUGUUACAUAUUCUUUGCUAUUUAAUUUUGAAAGAAUAAAUUUGCUGAAUAUUUUAGACCCACGUGCUGAAUUAAUUACAAUAACAAGCAAUCAGUCACUUAUGAAGUGUGUGUUUGAGCCACAUUAUUUUAAAAGAAUAAUUUUGGAAUGGUAAAUUGAUGGAGAACGCAUGAUUAAAAAAUGAGCAAAAGUUUUGGAUUUGUGUGUAAUGAUAUUUUAUUGAAGAAUGUGUGAUUGAAAUGAUAUCAAAUCACUGUUUAAGAAUGUAUUUUUUUAUAAAAAUGCGGCUCAAACAGGCCAUAAUUGUUUCUAGAUGAUUAAAAUAAUUAAUUUAAAUAAUUCUAUAUUUACACGAUCACAAUAGAUCAAAAGCAGCAAAUAAAUAUGAACAUCAUAUGAUCGCAGUGAAAAACUCCUUCAAUAGGAUUAGAAACUCUGGGUACAAUGGCUGUAAUAUCCACUAUAAACGACAUGACUUACAGUACGGUUCAAACUCGACUAAUUUUUAGUACUCUCUAGCCUUCUUUCUAUCACCAUAAUGGACCUCCUUGGGCUAGGUGCUAGAGCACCAGCUCUAGAACUCCUGGAAUCGUCUAUCUCUUAUGGAUGAUCAAGAACGACCUUGUUCUCCUCUUAUCAGAACCCUGGUCACUUUCGUAGAUCAUCAUAUCCCUAAUACAUGCUUCGGAAGUGGGUGGUUUGGUGUUUGAACAGCAGUCUUUUUGUGUUUUGAUCUGUGGCUGAGGCAAGAGAUAUUGGAAUAUGCCUAUGAUCUUCAAAGUACGUUCUCUUGACUUAAUUCAAUGCUCGACUUAUGUUUGAACAAUGUUUGGGAUAAACUAUAUGAACAAUGAUUUUGAGAUUAAAUCAAUAGAAUUAAUGGAAUGUGUUUAUGAUCUUCAACAAUGAGAUCUCGAAGAAAAAAUAAUGAUUCAACACAUCUUGGACAAAGUAGGGUAUGCAUAUUUAUAUUGGGCAGUUUUUGUGGUUGUAUAUAGGAUUGUUAAAAGUGUCUAAAAUUGCGACCUAGAGUUUCUUGAAAAAAUUAGGAUUUUGCUUAUGCUCGCCUGAUGUUGGGGAUUUCGCACCAGCGAAAGGUUGGCGUUAGGCUAGCAUCAUCAUCACUGUUUUGAGCGUUUGAGUAUGACUUGGCAUUGAGCUAACAUCAUUUUGAAAACUUUAAUUCUUUGUUACAUACUUGAGCCUAGGACUCCUAUUUGACCUAUACAACCAACCGUAUCUCUUUGACUUUAUUUGUAUCUCAAAUAACCUAGAUUUUGUCUAAGGAAUAGCCAAUUACAAUUAGGAGAAUUAAAUUUAUUCAAUCCCAUUGUGCCUAUCACACUAUAUACGUUGUUGUCAUAAAAUAUGAUGAACUUACUAAAGAACCUAAUCAGAGAACACCAGAAAUAGUGUCUCCAUAUUGUCUUAUGCUUGAUAGCGUGGACUAGGUACAGUGGAUAGAACAAAAAGAUGUCCCCAGUAAAGCACUAAAUCUUAGUGUUAGAGGCUAUCAAUGCUGUCAUCAUAUUGAAAUUCUUCAUUUUUGAAGCUUGGAGAAAUAGUUCCUCGGGCAAUAAAUUAAAGAUUAUUAUGCAAUUUCUCCAAUCAACCUUUAAAUGAGAAAGUAAAACCUCAAUUGUACAUUAUAAUUGUUGUUUGUGAAUGAAUGAAAUUAAAUCCUCAAUUGUACAUUAUAAUUGUUGUUCGUGAAUGAAUGAACCUGUUAAAAUAUUUGUUAAAUCAUCUAUCACAUGUCCAAUCUUAUCGAGUUAUACUUCAUGAAGUGAGGCACAUUUACUGAUAAUUUAGUUACAUUUGAAUUAUUUUCAUAAUUGGAGGCUAAUUGUGCCUAAAAUGAGAAUUAACCAACUAUGCGAACCAAUAAUGCUUUUUUCCUUAUCAGAAAAUGACUGCAAACCAAUAGAUGUAGAAGAAGGGUUUCAUAAAGCAUAAACAUCUAAAGGCUAUUAAUUUCUACACAAAUCAAUUAUGAAGCCAAUUUUCUAUUUUUUUUAAUGUAUUCUCUUCAUUAUUUGAGCAAGCCGACACUCUCUUUAGAGUAUAAUGUUAUUCAUAGUCGUUUACUGGAUGGUCAUCCAAAGGCAUCUUACAUAGUGAUUUAUGAUUUGAUGCAUUAAUGUGAUAGUUUUAUCUUACCUCAUAUAUCAAAUCACUAACCGUCAUAUGUACGCCAUGAAAGAUGACUACAACAGUGAGUGAUUACAAAUAACAUUAUUUCUGUCUUUAUGUCCAUACCCCGUCGGUCCCACAUUUUAACAUCGGCAUGACUAAAAAUUCAUAAUUAUAAUUCUAUCCCAGGUAUACUGAUAUUCCAAUGAAUAUUUCAUGUAAUGCUAUUUUUUUUUUCUGGCUACAUGUUGGAUUGGAUAAUCCCAAUUUGCAGAAUUUGAGCAUUUCUGUUCAAGAAUAUUCUUUAUUUAGAUGAUAUUUUGUCCCUCUGAUAAUUAGAUCAAAGUUUUUGGCCAACCAUUCAGAAGAUAGUGAAAAAAAAUACAGAGGAAGAUAUUUAAAGAAACCAAAUUAGAAAACUUGACUGGGGCGAGUGACACUAGGUCGCUCACCAAAAAAUAGAAGUUUGCAAGUUUAGCCUCAAAAAUUGAAUUAUCAAACCAUGUUGAAAAUUAUGAAUUGUUUGUCUUCUUGUUUCAAAGUAGAAAACCUUAUUUGUAGGGUUACAAAAAACUGUAAUAAAAAGACAAUUGUGUGAUUAUCACAAAGAAUAAUGUCUAUUAUUUUCAUAUCUUCGACAAAUACAUCUAGAUGGAAACUUUUUCCACGAUAAAGAACAAGGGGAGAGAGAGAGAGAAAAAAAAAAAGAUAAAUGGUACUCUAUAUCAAUAAAUAUUGUAAAUGCACCCAAUGAUUUCAGAAGCUUUGCGCUGCCAACGCUGACUAGAGUCUACCAAAAAGACACUUUGAUAUCUUGCUUUCCCGUUAAUUAUUAGAACAAAAGGAUGGCCCUCAUAAAGAAUAAAAAUCUUAGCGUGUUUGACAAUUAUUAAAAUUAAAAUCUUUUUUUUUUCUCAUAAUAAGAUAUUCUACGUGAAAACCUAAAAUUUCUUCGUAACUUAUAAUCACAUUUUCCAAAAAAAAUCACUAAUCCAAAAUUCAUUUUCCCCCAAAAAAAAAAAAAAUCAUUUUAAUGAUUGUCAAACAGGGUUUAGUGUUAGAGGCUCUGCGUAUUAAAAUUUUUCAUUUUUGAAGCUUGGAUAUAUAGUUCCUUAGGCAAUAAAUUGAUGAGUAACUAUGCAAUUUUUCCUAUUUCGUAGAAAAAUUAUAAAUUUAGUCCUCAAUUUGUUGCCUAAUUAGAAGUUGGUCAUCAACCUUAAAAAGAGGAAGUGAAUCCUCUACUUUAAACUAUAAUUGUUGUUAGUGAAUGAAGGAAUCUGUCAAAAUAUUUGAUAAAUCAUCAUGCAGCCUCCCAUGUAAAAUCUUACGACGAAGUUAGAUUUCAUAUCCCAACAUAGGUUGGAGGCAUAUUUUCAGGAUAAUUUAGUUGAGAUUUGAACUAUUUCCGCUCUUAGUCAGAAGCGAUUGAAUCUCCUUGUCCCAUCUCUUGGACCCUUACUAUUGGAACCAACAACGCACUUUCACUAUCAAGACAUGACUGCAUGCCAAUAGAGGUAGAAGAAGGGUUUCAUAAAGCAUAGAAAUCACAUGGUUAAGGGCUAUUAAUUUCCACACAAAUCAAUUAUGAAGCCACUUUGCUAUCUUUUUACUGUACUCUCUAAAUUAUUUGUUCAAGUUGGCAUUCACUUUAUGUCCGCUCAUGGCCGGUCCAAUAUUUUACCAUCAGCAUGACUAAAAAUUCAUAAUUACGACGUUUCUUGAAUUAUGUCCUAAGCAUACUAUUAUUCCAAUGAAUUUGGCAUGAUGUGAUGCUACCAUUUUCCUUUUUCUUUCUGGCUACAGUUUGGGUUGUAUGUUCCAAAUUUGAAGAAUUUGAGUUCCAGAAUUCUCUUUAUUUAUAUUGCAUUUCGUCCAUAAGAUAAUUAGAUCGAAGUUUUGGAUGAUGAGAUUUCAUUUAGAUUAACCUUCAUUUUUUAAAACUUAUUUUUCUUCAAACUCAUUUUCAAUCACACGUUUCGUGGGGCUCAUAACUUUUAUCAACUUUUUAACCAUGUUUUUCAUUAACUUUUAUCUAAAUGACUAAGUCUACUAAAAAUCUAAUUUUUAGUUUUAAACAAAACAAGGGCUUAGUAUGAUAUCAAGGAGUUGAAAGAUCUUGAAAUUGAGUGUUUUUGUAAACCAUUUGUGAAUAUUUUAACACCAAAUAUUUAACGACGUGGUAUAAUUACAAGAAAAUUCUUCCAUGGGCACAAGGAAUACCUACAUGCAAAAAGUCAAUUACCUUAAAUUUCACUUGCCAAGGUAAUAUUCAAUUGGAUCUAGAUGCAUAAAGUCAUUUAUGUUAAAUUUUACUUCUAAGGUAAGAGCACCUUCAACAAUUCUCAUUAUAUUAAAAAGCAUUUUGAGGUAGGGAGGGACUGCAUAUAACAUUAUUUUAUUAAAAAUAAAGAACAUUUCUUACAAGUCCAAUAUGCUAUUUAUAGUUCAUUAUUAUGAUUUUUUUGACAAACUAUCAUGGUUCACUGUUGUAUUAGAAUUUCAGAAGUGGACGAUGCUAUAAAGAAGCAAUAAAGUGGAUAUAAAAGUUCAUAUUAUUGUUUCUAUAAGGAUUAAGUACUUAAUCUAGUUCCAACUAAAUCUAACUUUUAUCGAAUAGAAAGACUUUCAAAUAGUUUUUUGUUAACAAAUAAAACAUAUAACUACUUUUAGCGAUGGCAAAAAAAUUCGCCCCGAAUGGGUUGGCGGGGUGGGGAUGUCCCACCCCGAAUCCACCCUGUGAAGGAAAAAAAUAAAAAUAAAAAUUUAAAAAUAAUUUAUUUCUAGACAAUUCACCCGUAAAAAACCUAUUUUGAAUUUGUAUUUUAUUCUCUAAUAAUAACAUAACUCGAAAUUAAAAAGAAAUAAAAAAAAUUCAACCAGGCAAAAAGUUUUCCCGUCUCCGCCCCUCUUAGACGGGGCGGGGUUUGGGCGAGAUGGGGCGGCGUCCCAAACCCGCCCCUGUUGCCAUCCCCAACUACUCUAGCUAAUCUAACAAAUUAAUUGGGAAGCUUUUGUGAUGCUUAAGUAAUAACGAACACUUGGAAUUCGAAUUUUCCUACAUUCAUCCAUUUAAAAAUCAAUGCAAGAUUUGGACAACACUUAUUUGUACUAAUCAAAGUUAAAACGUGUAAAUUAAAUUUGGCUUCUUCUUUGUAAGAUAUAUGUAAUUUCUGCCCCUAAGUUAUCAAAAGAUUGUAAAAAAUAAUCUCUAUGUAUUUUUUUAAAUAUGUGAAAUUAUUUUCCUUAAUAGUUGAUUAUGUGAUAAUUACGCAAGUUUCCAUUGAGAGUUAUUUGUAACCCUAUCUUCUACUUUGUAAUAGAAAUAUAAGUUUAUAACAAUUUAGCACCCGUUUGGCUCCCUUUAAAACUCUUCAAUUUAAUUAAAUUUUUUUUCUAUUUUCAACCACACAAUUUUCAAUAAAUUAAUAUUACACACAAAUCGAAACUUUUCAAUCUUUUACAAUCAUUCAUUUUUCAAAAAAACACUAUUCUCCCAUUAUAAAUUGAAAUAAUGGAGACCAAAUGAGGGCUUCUAAUAUUCUAACAUAUGCAAAAUUUCUCUCUCUAGAAAAAAGAAUGGCUACUUCACAUUCUCUCCCCUCUCUCCUCUUCUUUCACUUGGCCUUUUCGCUUAGUUUCACUUCCUUUGCGUCAACUCAAUACUCACCAUCAUCGAUUGCGUCUGACCAGAUCAAGUUCUGGUAUGAAAAUGUUCACAACCAAAUGCCAGAUUCUGUCUUUAAAAAACUAUCCCCGUUAACAAAAACGGAUCGUGAUUAUUACAAAAAUCUGAUAACCAAAAAAGAUUUCUCAGAAAAUCCUAGUUUUUGCUCACUUGCUAAACUCUCUUGUUCACCCGGAUUAAAGGAUGCUCGGCGAAAACCAACCAAUACGUACAGUAAUAAUGGUGCAUCACCUAUCAACUCCAAUGCGGCAGACAAAUUUUCUUACUUCAGGAUCUCAACCCUUACAGAAGGAAAUAAAUUCCAUCUCUCAGAUUUAGAAGAAAAAAUUCCAAAUCGAGCAUUUCUCCCUCAAGAAAUAGCAUCAAAAAUUUCUAUCAGCAGAAAAAGCAUUACAAAACUAUUUCCCAAGUCCUUUGAACUGUCAAAAAAUUCUAUGGAAAUGACACUUUCUUAUUGCAAUGCACAAGCUCUAAAGGGAGAAAUCAAGAAUUGCCCAAAAUCCCUUGAAGAAAUGAUUAGUUUCGCAAAGUUUGCCUUAGGCAAAAACAAGUUACUCGUGCUGGCUUCAGAACGCACAAGAAGAAGUGAAUUCCUGAUAAGAAAGAUCAAGAAAUUUGAUAGGCAGAAAGUAGUGGCCUGCCAUGAAGUUUAUCUUCCCUUUGCUGCCUAUUUCUGCCAUUCAACCUCUUCAACUCAAAUCUAUGCUGUAGACUUGAUUGAACCCGAGACUCGACUCCCAGUUAGCACUGUGAUUGCGAUAUGUCAUAUGGAUACCUCAGCUUGGCCUGCAAAUCAUGUGGCUUUUAAGAUUCUGAAAUUCUCCCCUGGAGAAGGCGAGGCAUGUCACUGGAUAUCGAACAUUGAUCUUGCAUGGAUUGCUGUUGACUAGACGGUAUGAAAUUGGAACGUGGCUUGUAAAUUAAGAUUGUAUAGGAGCUUGAAUUCAGUUGGUUUUUGCAAAAAAGACAUCUUUGUUAUCAUCAGAUUAUAUAAUAAAUUGAUGGGCAGAAGUGAUCUAUAAGUAUACCUUUUUCAUUGCUACUAUGCAAUGUUGAGAAAAUCAGAGUUCAAAUCCUAUAUAUUGAAGUAUGUUUUCAAAUAUAAUUAUAUAUUUACCUUCAAAUAUCGAGAUGAAGAUGCUCCACCUGCAGUAGUCUGUGAACUACACUUAUCUUGGUCACUAAAAGUAGUCUUCGGAAGUGAUUAUUAAAUGUUUCAUGCUUGAUCAUACUUGUUUAUUGAUUAUUUUAGGAGAAAAACGAUAUUGGACGAGAAUGGAUGAAAAGAAAUGAUAAUUUUUCAAAAUGAGUAAAGUUGGACAUAUUUUAGAAGUUGGGGGGACCAAGAAAUCAAGUUUGAAAGUUGAAAGACUUUAAUUGCACUAUAUAAGGAUUCAAUCUGAGCAAAGCGAGGAAACGUGGACCAGUUUAAACAGGUGAAAUAUAAUUUUCAGCAAUUUGGAAUAUCCUAAAUUGACUUAAAUUAUGAUUCUCGAUCAACUUGGGAGUCUAUUUUAGACUUUAAUUGAAGUCUAAAAUAUGAAUCUUUCAUUCAUAAUUAAAGGAGCCUAGAUAUACAAUUUUUAGGCAAAAUUAUUAUACAUUCAAAUACAUUGAACCCUCAAGAUUUGCAUCCCAAUUUGGGGUUUGAGGAUUGAAGAACACAGUUAGCUGAGAGAUAUAUCUGUUUUGAAGAGAAGAUUAAUGAUCCAUUAUUGGAAAUUGGAUGUCAAAGAAGAACAAUUGUUAGGAUUCUAUUCUUUAGUCAUCGUAUUUAAUUCGGUGAUUUUUUAAUCCUUUAAUGUUUUUUAUUCCACAAUUAUGAAUGGAUAAAUAAUUAGUUGUUACGAUGAACGAUGUAGCUUAGAUUUAAUAUUUAUUUAAUUCAAAAGAUUUCAUGUAACUUUGAUGUGUAAUUGCAUAUUGUGUUGAAUUAACAUUCACUUGCUUGAUCACCAAUUGACUGGUUUAAGGAUGAUAUUGAGAACUAAAUGAGAUAUAUUUGUAUAAUUCGUGCAAUAAGUGACAUGUUUUUAUAAGAGAGUGAGAGAUAAUUAUAGCCUUUGCAAUCUUGAUUUAACUCCUACAAAUUACUGCUUUUACAUAUGUAUGAAUUUAUAUAGAGAUAUAGUAAAUUCUAGUAUGUGAAUAUGUCUAGUUUUGCUCGAGAAAGACUAAUAGCUAAAAUUGGCUAAUUCCACUAUUAACACGUAUGAAAAAGAGGUUGAAUGAUGUUGGAUUGGAUGAAUGUUAAUAAAUGAAAUUAGAGUUCCUAACCACUCCUUAAAGUUCUCCACAAAUUAGAUUAGUUAGGUUAAAUUAGAUUAUUUAUUAUAAAUUAGUUAUAAAGCAAACAUUUCAUUUGAUAAGUUUUUACAACAUUAAUUUAGAUUGAAGUGAGACUUAAGAUAAAAAUUGAUGGUAAGUUUUUAGUUUUUGUGAGUACAAUACUAUGCACAGGGGUGGAGCCAAAAAAUUAUAUUGGAUGGUCUGAAAUUAAAAAAAAUUUAAAAAAUUGAAUGAGCUUACGCCACAAGAAAUUGAGUUUCGAAAACUAUUUUUGUGACAUUUACGAUAAAAAGUAUACGACACUCAAUGAAAUGAAAAAAGUUUAGACGUCUCACAUUAAAAUAUUCCAAUAACUUUUUUUUUUUUUUUUUUAACCAAAUAGAAAAUCGAUACUUAUCUUAAAAAAUAUAAACAAACCGAAUCAUGUUAGAAUUAAGCAAAAAUAUAUAUCCACCAAUGAGUACUUAAAAAAUUACUUAGUGAGUACUUUUCUAGUAACUUUGACAACUAGUCAUUCCAAAUAAGUGAAAGUUUUAACAAAUGUUCUUUUUGAAGUCGAUAUAAUUACUUUAUAAAUAAAUAAGUUUUAACAAAUAUUCUUUUUAUUAUCAAUAUCAAAUCUAUAGUAAGUUAUUUAUUUUGAUCAUAAUAUCUACUUUAUGGUCAAAACAAGUAUUUUUUUUCAUAAAUAUGAAAUAGUAAUGAAUACGUAAUUUAGAAAAAUAUGUAAUAUCUCUAACUAUUAAAAUAAAUAAUUUACUUUUAGAUCUAAUCAAUACAAAUUAUCUAUAAUAAAAUUUUCUUAAUAAUUAAAUUUUAGUCAAACAUGCAUUAAAUAGAAUAUCCAAUUUAACAAUAAAAUAUUCACAUUUCAUGAAUGUCUUGAAAAAAGUAAUUAAUAUUGCAAUGUUUUGAAUACAAUUUAAAUAAUUGAACAUUGGAAUUGGAUUGAGAUUUAAAUUGGAGAUAGGCUAAUGCUAAUAUAUGGGCCACAAUUCUACAAUUUUAUCUUAAAAAUGUAUAUGGGUUGGGGAACAUUGCUAGGCUACAGCCCAACAAUGCCCCCAUUAGCUCCGCCUCUGACUAAGCACAUAUAGGGGGUGUUUGAUAGAUAUUUUUAUAUAAAAAUACAUUUUAGAAUAGUAAAUUGAUGUGAAAUGUGUGGUUGAGAAAUAAGGAAAUUUUUUUAUUUACAUGUAAUAUUAUUUUAAUAAAAAAUGUGUGAUUGAAAAAAGAAGAGAGAGAAAAAUAUAUUUUAAAAAAAUACUAUCAAACGGGGCCAUAGUAACACUAUAAUAUAACUGUCCAAACGUUCUAAUGGACUUAGCCCUUCUUUGAGCCCCAUUUUUUUAAAAAUUUAUUUUCAACCAUACAUUCUUCAAUAAAAUAAUGUUACACAUAAAUUGAGAACUUUUCUUAUUUUUUAACCACAUGUUUUCUAAAAAAUACUAUUCUAAAAUACAUUUUUUUCCUUCAUAAUGCAGCUCAAAGAAGAGCUUGUAUUCAUUUUCUUUUUCUUUCCAAAAAUUAGUGACACGUUUAAUGUACUACAAUCCUCUGAGACCAUUCAACUUCAGAGAUGCCUAACGAGUAAAUCCUAUUGUUGAAUGGAACACGCAUUAGUAGAUAUGUCAAAAUGAAAUGAUAUGACGCUAAAGAUAUUGAUGGCCGUCCAUGUUAAAAUUUGUAAAGGUGUAUCAUAUUUGUUUUGGAAGUGUUGUACUCUGUCAAUAGCCUAGUUGCAUUCCAGCUUGCUGCAAAUUAAACAAGUGUGGUGCUGUGUCCUCGGAUAAAGAGAUAUAACACAAUAUCGACCAAUAAUCUCGUUGAUUUCGUGGAAUUUUGAUAGAGAUCGAAAAAUAGUUUGAGCUUAUGACCCGUCCGCCUCUUAUUAGGGUAAAAAUCAUGAGGCAUAGGCUUAUAUAGGGAGUACCAGACUUGGGUACAAGUACAUCCUUCGUUAUGAAUUUUGAAGAUUGUUUAUGAUUUAUUAUGAGUUCAUUUUGCAUUUUAGUAGUGCUUUGGUUUAUGGUGAGGCUUACGCCUCCUCUCAUGAAAGAAAAAUGGUUAAGAAUCCAAUAACACCUUUUUUUAAACAUUGAUUAUCCAAGCUUGGUACAACAGCUAGGGCUAGGCCCAUAAACCAAAAACCUCAAACCCAACCCAACCCGACCUCAAGUUAGGUCGGUUUGGAAUAAAAACGGUUCGAUUUGGGUUCCAAACCAUUAUAAAUUUUUUUGGGUCAGGCCGGUUGGGUUUAAACCCAUUUAAGACGGCCCAACCCGAUAUCAAAUGUAAAACCCUCCCUCUUCCUCUCAUUCGCAUUAACCUAAUAUCAAAUGUAAAAACCUUGUCCUAUUCUUCUCCCAAUAUUCUAGCAAAAAUAUUGAAUUUGUGUAUGUUUUUGUAUUUAUGAAAGCUUUUUUACAGAUGAAAGUCUCUAUUUAUAGUCCCAAGAUUAGGGUAAAAUUCAUGUCCCAUCCUCAUUCCAUAUCGAAGUCUAAUUGUAUUUGGAAAGAAACUUAGGGUUGCCUUGUGUAACCUUACGAUCACAUGGUUCAAAGAGUUGUGAUCAGAUAGUUCAACGUCAAAACAUGUUGGUUUCUGUUUGUCUCUAGUUGUUGUAGCUAGGUUUAUCUUUCAAAUAUUUACACUUUAGUCCUCACCAUCCACAAUAACUCAAAAUUGGUCCUCUACAACUUUCUAAAAUUGUGGAUAUAAGUCCUUAAACUUUUCAAAUGUUGAAUUUUACUCCCCAAACUCUUGAGUUUAAUUUCUCUGAUUACUCUCUUCAUACUUCUUAGCAAUCAUGUACAAUUUGGUUAGCAUUCAAUUUCCAUUAAUUUACUUCAAUUAAGCUCAAAAUCAUCCUUUCUCGCUCCAAAUGCAUUCAAGUACAGUUUUUUUUCCCCAACAAUUAACAUAAUUAUGAAAGUAGAUAUAUUUGUAUACUCAAUUAGCAAUAAUUUAUGAGUUUAAAAGUGCAGACCUAGAUACAUGGAACAUGUUAACACUACAUCAAGAUUCAAAAAGUUAUGGCUGCAAGUUGAUGGAACCCAGAUAAAGUAACCAGCUGAAAAUAAAUGCCAUACUAACUAGAACCCCACCACAAAGAUCCUCAAAUGUCUUGAUUUGGUUAUAAAUUAGAUCACUUUUUAUAGGCAAAAAAAGUAGUUAUGUGUUAUCUAUUUCAAAUUUCAACUUUCAUAUACGUUGUCUAUGGAAACUUUAAAUCUAGAUUUUUAUUAAAGUCGAAGUCAACAAUUAAUUUUAACUACGUAUUUCAUAGGAUCCAAAAUUUUUCAAACACACAUUUUAUCAAUUUUAUUAAAAUCUGCUAAAAGUUUAAUUUUAUGGGCAUGUUUAGAAUGUGAAUUGAAAUUGAUGACCACGGCGAUUGAUAAAUUUUGUUACAUAUGUAAUUUUCCCAAUUCCGUUCUGUCUAUCAUACUAAAUAUGUUAUCGUCAUAAAAUAUGAUGAACCACUGUAAAGAUCCUAAUCAGAACACACCAGAAUAGUGUCUUCAGGUUGUGUUAUGCAUGAUGCAUGGACUGGAUACAGCAGACAGAACAAAAGGAUGUCCCUCAUAAGCAUAAAAAAUCUGUGUUGGAUCUGUUAAUACUGUCUUCAUAUCAAAAUUCUUCAUUUUCGAAGUUUGGAGAAAUAGUUCCUUGGGCAAUAAAUUAAAGAUUCAUUAUGCAAUUUUUCCUUUAGUAUAUUUUCUUACUAGAAAAAUUAUACCAUUACUCCUCGAUUUAUUGCCUGAUUAAGAAGUUGGUCAUCAACUUUUAAAAGAGAGAGAAUUCUCGAUUUCUCAUUAUAAUUGUUCUUAUUGAACAAAGGAAUCUGUCAGAAUAUAUAUUAAAUCGUCACUUAGUCUCAUAUGUCCAACCUUGUGAAUUUAGAUUUCGUAUCCCAACCUGUACGAUGGCUUGAAAUUUGAAGUGAGGCAUAUUUUCGUGACGAUUUAGUUGAGAUUUGGACUAUUUCCAUGAUUGAAGGCUGAUUAUGCCUCAAAGGAAAGGCUGUGGAUCAACAUGCUCUUUAACUUACCAUUCAAAUCAACAAUGCAUUUUCCCUAUCAGGACAUGACUGCAUACCAUUUUAGGUAGAAGAAAAGUCUCGUAAAGCCAAUUUGCUAUCUUUUUACUGUAUUCUCCAAAUUAUUUGAUCAAGUUUGGUUCUCACUUUAUAUCCACGGACUUUAUAUCCAUCCGUGGUCGGUCCCAUAUUUUAACGUCGGCUUGACUAAAAAUUCAUAAUUAUGACGUUCUUUGAAUGCUAUCCCACAUAUACUGAUAUUCCAAUGAAUAUUUCAUGUGAUGCUACAUUAUUUUUUCCCCCUUCUGGCUACAUUUUGGAUUGGAUUAUCCUAAUUCGUUUGAAGAAUUUGAGCAUUUUUGCUCAAGAAUUUUCUUUAUUUAGAUGAUAUUUUGUCCCUCUGAUAGUUAGAUCAAAGUUUUUGGCCAACCAAAUUCAGAAGAUAGAAUAAAAAUAGAGAGGAAGAUAUCUAAAGAAACAAAAUAAGAAAAUCUGGCUGGCAUUACGUCGCUCGCCGGAUAAUAGAAGUUAACAAGUUUAGCCUCAAAAAAUUGAAAUAAACCCGCUCUCGUACCACGUUGAAAAUUAUGAAUUGUUUUUCUUCUUAUUUCAAAGUAGAAAAUCCUACUUGUAGGGUUAAAAAUAACCAUAAUAGAAAAGAUUGUAUCAUGUUCACAAAAUCAAUAAUUAAGGCGGACAAUCCCACACACAACUGGAAAAAUAUUAUGAAGAAUAAUGUCAAUUGUUUUCCAUAACUUCAACAAAUAUGUCUAGAUGGAAACAUUUUCCACAAUAAAGAAAAAGAGGAAACAAGGGCAUUGUUUUACUUGUACACACAACGACAAAUGAAAGCAUAAAGCACGAAACACUAAAAACGAACACAGGCACAUGGUACUCAACCUUUAAAAGAGCACGUGAAUCCUCAACUUUAAAUUAUAAUUGUUAUUAGUGGACAAAGGAAUCUGUCAAAAUAUUUGUUAAAUCAUCAUGCUGUCUCACAUGUUUAAUCUUACGAAGUUAGAUAUCAUAUCCCAACCUAGGCUGAUGCUUAAAAUUUUGAAAUGAGGUAUAUUUUCGGGAUAAUUUAGUUGAGAUUUGAACUAUUUCCAUAAUUGAAGGCUGGUUGUGCCUAAAAUGAAAGGUCGUGGAUCAACGUGAUCUUUAAAAGGUUGAAGAUUAACUUAGUAUGGGAAUCAGCAAUACACGACUUUAUACCAUUAGAGGUAGAAGAAGGGGUCUCAUGAAGCAUAAAAAUCAAAUGCUAAAGGUUAUUAAUUUCCACACAAGUCAAUUAUGAAGACAGUUCGUUAUCUUUUUACUGUAUUCUAUAAAUGCCCAUUCUAUGUCCAUUCAUGGUGGGUCCCAUAUUUUAACAUCAGUUAUGACUAAAAAUUCAUAAUUACGACGUUUCUUGAAUUCUGUCCCAUGCAUACCAUUAUUCCAAUGAAUUUGGCAUGUGGUGCUACAUUUUUAUUUUUUUCUUUUUGGCAACAUUUUUGAGUUGGAUAAUCUAAAAUUGAAGAAUUUGAGCACUUAUGUUCAAGAAUUCUCUUUAUUUAUAUUGCACUUUGUCCAUCUGAUAAUUAGAUUAAAGUUUUGGAGAUAAUAUUUCAUUUAGCCCAGUUUGGUCCCCCAUUUUCUUAAACUUAUUUUUCUUCAAACUCAUGAUUUUCAACGACAUGUUUCUUGUGGCUCAUAACUUUUGUUAACUUUUCAACCACUAUUUCCAUUAACUUUUAUGUAAAUCUACUAAAAAUUUGAUUUCUAACUUUAAACAAAACAGUGGCUUAGUAUGAUAUCAAAGAAUUGGAAGAUCUUGAAUUUGAGUCUUUUGUAAAUCAUUUGUAAAUAUUUUAACACCAAAUAUUUAACCACGGGGUAUAAUUACAAGAAAAUUCAUCCAUGGGCACAUAUAAUAUAUCAAAUUUAAUUGGACCUACAUGCAAAAAAGUUGUUUAUCUCAAAUUCCACUUGCUAAGGUAAUAUUUAAUUGGACCCGCAUGCAAAAAGUCAUUUAUCAUAAAUUUUACUUCUAGGAUAAGAGCAUUUUCAACAAUUCUCAUUAUUUGAAAACCAUUUUGAAGUAUAAUUACAAAUAAAGUCCUUUUUUUUUUUACGAGUCCAAUAUGCUAUGUAUAUUUCAUCUUUAAUUUGAUUUUUUCAACAAACUAUUAUGGCUUACUGUUGCGUUAAAAGUUUGCAAGUGGGGGAUCUUAUAAACAAGUAAUAGAAUGAACAGAAGAAUUCGGGUUAUCGUUCCUACGAGGACUAUGUAUUUAAUCUAAUUUCAAUUAAAUUUAGAUUUAAUUGAAUAGCAAGACUUAAUUUGAAAGAGUUCUAUGUUAACAAUUAAACUCAUAACCACUUGAACUAAUCUAACUAAUUAUUCGGGAAAUGUUUAUGAUACUUAUGUAAUGACAAACACUUGGACUUUCAACUUCCCUACAUUUAAUCCAUUUUAAAGUCAUUCUGAGAUUUAGACAACACUUGUUCGGAUAUAAAGAUCAAUUUCCCUAAUUUGUUAAAUAAUCUCUCAAGUUGAAUUAAAUUUAUCCUCAUAUAUGACUCUCAUAUAUCUCUAUGAAUAAUACAAACAUGUUACAAUUUUGUAAAUCAUAAGAAUAUUUAUAACAUCAUGCAAAGCAUAUCGAUAUAUCUCUAUCCACUAUUGGACUUUACAAUAAUUUUUACUACGUUCUAUAAUUCCUAUUCUUUGCAUCUCUUCAAUGACCCCUUGAUCCAUUGCCUUUGAUUCUUCUUCUUUUUUCUUUUUUUUCCCUACAAUCCAAGCAAUUGAGUAUGAAAAUUGUGUGGAUAGGUGUAAUUUGUAUCGAAAUUUCUAUGAAGUUUGAAAGAAAUAUGGAUUAGUAGAUCAAAAGCUUCCUCAUUAGGAUUCCUCUUUUUAGGAUUUUUGUAAUUUCCCCCCCCCCCCCCAGUAGCCUCAUUUGAUUGUUGGAUGAAGGUUUAUAUAAUUAUAGACCGAAGAAUUACAUAAAAAAUCGUACUAUAAUUGCUUUUCAAAUAGACGUUGAUUUGAACAAAGAAAUCGUUUGCAAAUGUACCGUGGUGUGAUUGUGGAUGCUAAAUGUUUUGCUCGCUGCUCAAAAUUCUUUCUAUGUUGCAAUUGUAAGGAUCAAACCCUAGGAUCGCAAGGCUAAUAUUCUUUCCCCAUUUACAAUUUGGUCCCUAAAUUUUCUCUUUUGUCUAGUUUGAGCCCGUUCCUAUUUGCAUCUUUGAUUCUGUUGGAAAAAUGAGUAAAUGGCUCACAUUUGACACAAUUUUCGGUAGGAUCCGUCGGUCCAAUUUGGAAGAUCAAAGUUGAUCCGUAAUCUUCUUUGUGUGAGCAUCAAAAUCAUUUAUUUACUUGCUAAAAAUGAAGCUCGAUGAAUGAGAAAUUGGAGCUCAAGUUGACCAGUGGAAGAUUAUUUAUGUGGGAAAAUAGGAUUUCUCACAUACGAAAAUGAAGAAAGUAUGAACGACUUUAUAUAUGGCUACACUUUGGAAGGGUGUAAUCAUGUGUAGCAUAGAUGCUCUCUCCAUGCGCGCGCGCAAGGGGUACAAAUCACGGAUCGAAAUAACCUUNNNNNNNNNNNNNNNNNNNNNNNNNNNNNNNNNNNNNNNNNNNNNNNNNNNNNNNNNNNNNNNNNNNNNNNNNNNNNNNNNNNNNNNNNNNNNNNNNNNNNNNNNNNNNNNNNNNNNNNNNNNNNNNNNNNNNNNNNNNNNNNNNNNNNNNNNNNNNNNNNNNNNNNNNNNNNNNNNNNNNNNNNNNNNNNNNNNNNNNNNNNNNNNNNNNNNNNNNNNNNNNNNNNNNNNNNNNNNNNNNNNNNNNNNNNNNNNNNNNNNNNNNNNNNNNNNNNNNNNNNNNNNNNNNNNNNNNNNNNNNNNNNNNNNNNNNNNNNNNNNNNNNNNNNNNNNNNNNNNNNNNNNNNNNNNNNNNNNNNNNNNNNNNNNNNNNNNNNNNNNNNNNNNNNNNNNNNNNNNNNNNNNNNNNNNNNNNNNNNNNNNNNNNNNNNNNNNNNNNNNNNNNNNNNNNNNNNNNNNNNNNNNNNNNNNNNNNNNNNNNNNNNNNNNNNNNNNNNNNNNNNNNNNNNNNNNNNNNNNNNNNNNNNNNNNNNNNNNNNNNNNNNNNNNNNNNNNNNNNNNNNNNNNNNNNNNNNNNNNNNNNNNNNNNNNNNNNNNNNNNNNNNNNNNNNNNNNNNNNNNNNNNNNNNNNNNNNNNNNNNNNNNNNNNNNNNNNNNNNNNNNNNNNNNNNNNNNNNNNNNNNNNNNNNNNNNNNNNNNNNNNNNNNNNNNNNNNNNNNNNNNNNNNNNNNNNNNNNNNNNNNNNNNNNNNNNNNNNNNNNNNNNNNNNNNNNNNNNNNNNNNNNNNNNNNNNNNNNNNNNNNNNNNNNNNNNNNNNNNNNNNNNNNNNNNNNNNNNNNNNNNNNNNNNNNNNNNNNNNNNNNNNNNNNNNNNNNNNNNNNNNNNNNNNNNNNNNNNNNNNNNNNNNNNNNNNNNNNNNNNNNNNNNNNNNNNNNNNNNNNNNNNNNNNNNNNNNNNNNNNNNNNNNNNNNNNNNNNNNNNNNNNNNNNNNNNNNNNNNNNNNNNNNNNNNNNNNNNNNNNNNNNNNNNNNNNNNNNNNNNNNNNNNNNNNNNNNNNNNNNNNNNNNNNNNNNNNNNNNNNNNNNNNNNNNNNNNNNNNNNNNNNNNNNNNNNNNNNNNNNNNNNNNNNNNNNNNNNNNNNNNNNNNNNNNNNNNNNNNNNNNNNNNNNNNNNNNNNNNNNNNNNNNNNNNNNNNNNNNNNNNNNNNNNNNNNNNNNNNNNNNNNNNNNNNNNNNNNNNNNNNNNNNNNNNNNNNNNNNNNNNNNNNNNNNNNNNNNNNNNNNNNNNNNNNNNNNNNNNNNNNNNNNNNNNNNNNNNNNNNNNNNNNNNNNNNNNNNNNNNNNNNNNNNNNNNNNNNNNNNNNNNNNNNNNNNNNNNNNNNNNNNNNNNNNNNNNNNNNNNNNNNNNNNNNNNNNNNNNNNNNNNNNNNNNNNNNNNNNNNNNNNNNNNNNNNNNNNNNNNNNNNNNNNNNNNNNNNNNNNNNNNNNNNNNNNNNNNNNNNNNNNNNNNNNNNNNNNNNNNNNNNNNNNNNNNNNNNNNNNNNNNNNNNNNNNNNNNNNNNNNNNNNNNNNNNNNNNNNNNNNNNNNNNNNNNNNNNNNNNNNNNNNNNNNNNNNNNNNNNNNNNNNNNNNNNNNNNNNNNNNNNNNNNNNNNNNNNNNNNNNNNNNNNNNNNNNNNNNNNNNNNNNNNNNNNNNNNNNNNNNNNNNNNNNNNNNNNNNNNNNNNNNNNNNNNNNNNNNNNNNNNNNNNNNNNNNNNNNNNNNNNNNNNNNNNNNNNNNNNNNNNNNNNNNNNNNNNNNNNNNNNNNNNNNNNNNNNNNNNNNNNNNNNNNNNNNNNNNNNNNNNNNNNNNNNNNNNNNNNNNNNNNNNNNNNNNNNNNNNNNNNNNNNNNNNNNNNNNNNNNNNNNNNNNNNNNNNNNNNNNNNNNNNNNNNNNNNNNNNNNNNNNNNNNNNNNNNNNNNNNNNNNNNNNNNNNNNNNNNNNNNNNNNNNNNNNNNNNNNNNNNNNNNNNNNNNNNNNNNNNNNNNNNNNNNNNNNNNNNNNNNNNNNNNNNNNNNNNNNNNNNNNNNNNNNNNNNNNNNNNNNNNNNNNNNNNNNNNNNNNNNNNNNNNNNNNNNNNNNNNNNNNNNNNNNNNNNNNNNNNNNNNNNNNNNNNNNNNNNNNNNNNNNNNNNNNNNNNNNNNNNNNNNNNNNNNNNNNNNNNNNNNNNNNNNNNNNNNNNNNNNNNNNNNNNNNNNNNNNNNNNNNNNNNNNNNNNNNNNNNNNNNNNNNNNNNNNNNNNNNNNNNNNNNNNNNNNNNNNNNNNNNNNNNNNNNNNNNNNNNNNNNNNNNNNNNNNNNNNNNNNNNNNNNNNNNNNNNNNNNNNNNNNNNNNNNNNNNNNNNNNNNNNNNNNNNNNNNNNNNNNNNNNNNNNNNNNNNNNNNNNNNNNNNNNNNNNNNNNNNNNNUUUUUUUUUUUUUUUUAACCAAAUAGAAAAUCGAUACUUAUCUUAAAAAAUAUAAACAAACCGAAUCAUGUUAGAAUUAAGCAAAAAUAUAUAUCCACCAAUGAGUACUUAAAAAAUUACUUAGUGAGUACUUUUCUAGUAACUUUGACAACUAGUCAUUCCAAAUAAGUGAAAGUUUUAACAAAUGUUCUUUUUGAAGUCGAUAUAAUUACUUUAUAAAUAAAUAAGUUUUAACAAAUAUUCUUUUUAUUAUCAAUAUCAAAUCUAUAGUAAGUUAUUUAUUUUGAUCAUAAUAUCUACUUUAUGGUCAAAACAAGUAUUUUUUUUCAUAAAUAUGAAAUAGUAAUGAAUACGUAAUUUAGAAAAAUAUGUAAUAUCUCUAACUAUUAAAAUAAAUAAUUUACUUUUAGAUCUAAUCAAUACAAAUUAUCUAUAAUAAAAUUUUCUUAAUAAUUAAAUUUUAGUCAAACAUGCAUUAAAUAGAAUAUCCAAUUUAACAAUAAAAUAUUCACAUUUCAUGAAUGUCUUGAAAAAAGUAAUUAAUAUUGCAAUGUUUUGAAUACAAUUUAAAUAAUUGAACAUUGGAAUUGGAUUGAGAUUUAAAUUGGAGAUAGGCUAAUGCUAAUAUAUGGGCCACAAUUCUACAAUUUUAUCUUAAAAAUGUAUAUGGGUUGGGGAACAUUGCUAGGCUACAGCCCAACAAUGCCCCCAUUAGCUCCGCCUCUGACUAAGCACAUAUAGGGGGUGUUUGAUAGAUAUUUUUAUAUAAAAAUACAUUUUAGAAUAGUAAAUUGAUGUGAAAUGUGUGGUUGAGAAAUAAGGAAAUUUUUUUAUUUACAUGUAAUAUUAUUUUAAUAAAAAAUGUGUGAUUGAAAAAAGAAGAGAGAGAAAAAUAUAUUUUAAAAAAAUACUAUCAAACGGGGCCAUAGUAACACUAUAAUAUAACUGUCCAAACGUUCUAAUGGACUUAGCCCUUCUUUGAGCCCCAUUUUUUUAAAAAUUUAUUUUCAACCAUACAUUCUUCAAUAAAAUAAUGUUACACAUAAAUUGAGAACUUUUCUUAUUUUUUAACCACAUGUUUUCUAAAAAAUACUAUUCUAAAAUACAUUUUUUUCCUUCAUAAUGCAGCUCAAAGAAGAGCUUGUAUUCAUUUUCUUUUUCUUUCCAAAAAUUAGUGACACGUUUAAUGUACUACAAUCCUCUGAGACCAUUCAACUUCAGAGAUGCCUAACGAGUAAAUCCUAUUGUUGAAUGGAACACGCAUUAGUAGAUAUGUCAAAAUGAAAUGAUAUGACGCUAAAGAUAUUGAUGGCCGUCCAUGUUAAAAUUUGUAAAGGUGUAUCAUAUUUGUUUUGGAAGUGUUGUACUCUGUCAAUAGCCUAGUUGCAUUCCAGCUUGCUGCAAAUUAAACAAGUGUGGUGCUGUGUCCUCGGAUAAAGAGAUAUAACACAAUAUCGACCAAUAAUCUCGUUGAUUUCGUGGAAUUUUGAUAGAGAUCGAAAAAUAGUUUGAGCUUAUGACCCGUCCGCCUCUUAUUAGGGUAAAAAUCAUGAGGCAUAGGCUUAUAUAGGGAGUACCAGACUUGGGUACAAGUACAUCCUUCGUUAUGAAUUUUGAAGAUUGUUUAUGAUUUAUUAUGAGUUCAUUUUGCAUUUUAGUAGUGCUUUGGUUUAUGGUGAGGCUUACGCCUCCUCUCAUGAAAGAAAAAUGGUUAAGAAUCCAAUAACACCUUUUUUUAAACAUUGAUUAUCCAAGCUUGGUACAACAGCUAGGGCUAGGCCCAUAAACCAAAAACCUCAAACCCAACCCAACCCGACCUCAAGUUAGGUCGGUUUGGAAUAAAAACGGUUCGAUUUGGGUUCCAAACCAUUAUAAAUUUUUUUGGGUCAGGCCGGUUGGGUUUAAACCCAUUUAAGACGGCCCAACCCGAUAUCAAAUGUAAAACCCUCCCUCUUCCUCUCAUUCGCAUUAACCUAAUAUCAAAUGUAAAAACCUUGUCCUAUUCUUCUCCCAAUAUUCUAGCAAAAAUAUUGAAUUUGUGUAUGUUUUUGUAUUUAUGAAAGCUUUUUUACAGAUGAAAGUCUCUAUUUAUAGUCCCAAGAUUAGGGUAAAAUUCAUGUCCCAUCCUCAUUCCAUAUCGAAGUCUAAUUGUAUUUGGAAAGAAACUUAGGGUUGCCUUGUGUAACCUUACGAUCACAUGGUUCAAAGAGUUGUGAUCAGAUAGUUCAACGUCAAAACAUGUUGGUUUCUGUUUGUCUCUAGUUGUUGUAGCUAGGUUUAUCUUUCAAAUAUUUACACUUUAGUCCUCACCAUCCACAAUAACUCAAAAUUGGUCCUCUACAACUUUCUAAAAUUGUGGAUAUAAGUCCUUAAACUUUUCAAAUGUUGAAUUUUACUCCCCAAACUCUUGAGUUUAAUUUCUCUGAUUACUCUCUUCAUACUUCUUAGCAAUCAUGUACAAUUUGGUUAGCAUUCAAUUUCCAUUAAUUUACUUCAAUUAAGCUCAAAAUCAUCCUUUCUCGCUCCAAAUGCAUUCAAGUACAGUUUUUUUUCCCCAACAAUUAACAUAAUUAUGAAAGUAGAUAUAUUUGUAUACUCAAUUAGCAAUAAUUUAUGAGUUUAAAAGUGCAGACCUAGAUACAUGGAACAUGUUAACACUACAUCAAGAUUCAAAAAGUUAUGGCUGCAAGUUGAUGGAACCCAGAUAAAGUAACCAGCUGAAAAUAAAUGCCAUACUAACUAGAACCCCACCACAAAGAUCCUCAAAUGUCUUGAUUUGGUUAUAAAUUAGAUCACUUUUUAUAGGCAAAAAAAGUAGUUAUGUGUUAUCUAUUUCAAAUUUCAACUUUCAUAUACGUUGUCUAUGGAAACUUUAAAUCUAGAUUUUUAUUAAAGUCGAAGUCAACAAUUAAUUUUAACUACGUAUUUCAUAGGAUCCAAAAUUUUUCAAACACACAUUUUAUCAAUUUUAUUAAAAUCUGCUAAAAGUUUAAUUUUAUGGGCAUGUUUAGAAUGUGAAUUGAAAUUGAUGACCACGGCGAUUGAUAAAUUUUGUUACAUAUGUAAUUUUCCCAAUUCCGUUCUGUCUAUCAUACUAAAUAUGUUAUCGUCAUAAAAUAUGAUGAACCACUGUAAAGAUCCUAAUCAGAACACACCAGAAUAGUGUCUUCAGGUUGUGUUAUGCAUGAUGCAUGGACUGGAUACAGCAGACAGAACAAAAGGAUGUCCCUCAUAAGCAUAAAAAAUCUGUGUUGGAUCUGUUAAUACUGUCUUCAUAUCAAAAUUCUUCAUUUUCGAAGUUUGGAGAAAUAGUUCCUUGGGCAAUAAAUUAAAGAUUCAUUAUGCAAUUUUUCCUUUAGUAUAUUUUCUUACUAGAAAAAUUAUACCAUUACUCCUCGAUUUAUUGCCUGAUUAAGAAGUUGGUCAUCAACUUUUAAAAGAGAGAGAAUUCUCGAUUUCUCAUUAUAAUUGUUCUUAUUGAACAAAGGAAUCUGUCAGAAUAUAUAUUAAAUCGUCACUUAGUCUCAUAUGUCCAACCUUGUGAAUUUAGAUUUCGUAUCCCAACCUGUACGAUGGCUUGAAAUUUGAAGUGAGGCAUAUUUUCGUGACGAUUUAGUUGAGAUUUGGACUAUUUCCAUGAUUGAAGGCUGAUUAUGCCUCAAAGGAAAGGCUGUGGAUCAACAUGCUCUUUAACUUACCAUUCAAAUCAACAAUGCAUUUUCCCUAUCAGGACAUGACUGCAUACCAUUUUAGGUAGAAGAAAAGUCUCGUAAAGCCAAUUUGCUAUCUUUUUACUGUAUUCUCCAAAUUAUUUGAUCAAGUUUGGUUCUCACUUUAUAUCCAUCCGUGGUCGGUCCCAUAUUUUAACGUCGGCUUGACUAAAAAUUCAUAAUUAUGACGUUCUUUGAAUGCUAUCCCACAUAUACUGAUAUUCCAAUGAAUAUUUCAUGUGAUGCUACAUUAUUUUUUCCCCCUUCUGGCUACAUUUUGGAUUGGAUUAUCCUAAUUCGUUUGAAGAAUUUGAGCAUUUUUGCUCAAGAAUUUUCUUUAUUUAGAUGAUAUUUUGUCCCUCUGAUAGUUAGAUCAAAGUUUUUGGCCAACCAAAUUCAGAAGAUAGAAUAAAAAUAGAGAGGAAGAUAUCUAAAGAAACAAAAUAAGAAAAUCUGGCUGGCAUUACGUCGCUCGCCGGAUAAUAGAAGUUAACAAGUUUAGCCUCAAAAAAUUGAAAUAAACCCGCUCUCGUACCACGUUGAAAAUUAUGAAUUGUUUUUCUUCUUAUUUCAAAGUAGAAAAUCCUACUUGUAGGGUUAAAAAUAACCAUAAUAGAAAAGAUUGUAUCAUGUUCACAAAAUCAAUAAUUAAGGCGGACAAUCCCACACACAACUGGAAAAAUAUUAUGAAGAAUAAUGUCAAUUGUUUUCCAUAACUUCAACAAAUAUGUCUAGAUGGAAACAUUUUCCACAAUAAAGAAAAAGAGGAAACAAGGGCAUUGUUUUACUUGUACACACAACGACAAAUGAAAGCAUAAAGCACGAAACACUAAAAACGAACACAGGCACAUGGUACUCAACCUUUAAAAGAGCACGUGAAUCCUCAACUUUAAAUUAUAAUUGUUAUUAGUGGACAAAGGAAUCUGUCAAAAUAUUUGUUAAAUCAUCAUGCUGUCUCACAUGUUUAAUCUUACGAAGUUAGAUAUCAUAUCCCAACCUAGGCUGAUGCUUAAAAUUUUGAAAUGAGGUAUAUUUUCGGGAUAAUUUAGUUGAGAUUUGAACUAUUUCCAUAAUUGAAGGCUGGUUGUGCCUAAAAUGAAAGGUCGUGGAUCAACGUGAUCUUUAAAAGGUUGAAGAUUAACUUAGUAUGGGAAUCAGCAAUACACGACUUUAUACCAUUAGAGGUAGAAGAAGGGGUCUCAUGAAGCAUAAAAAUCAAAUGCUAAAGGUUAUUAAUUUCCACACAAGUCAAUUAUGAAGACAGUUCGUUAUCUUUUUACUGUAUUCUAUAAAUGCCCAUUCUAUGUCCAUUCAUGGUGGGUCCCAUAUUUUAACAUCAGUUAUGACUAAAAAUUCAUAAUUACGACGUUUCUUGAAUUCUGUCCCAUGCAUACCAUUAUUCCAAUGAAUUUGGCAUGUGGUGCUACAUUUUUAUUUUUUUCUUUUUGGCAACAUUUUUGAGUUGGAUAAUCUAAAUUUGAAGAAUUUGAGCACUUAUGUUCAAGAAUUCUCUUUAUUUAUGUUGCACUUUGUCCAUCUGAUAAUUAGAUUAAAGUUUUGGAGAUAAUAUUUCAUUUAGCCCAGUUUGGUCCCCCAUUUUCUUAAACUUAUUUUUGUUCAAACUCAUGAUUUUCAACGACAUGUUUCUUGUGCCUCAUAACUUUUGUUAACUUUUCAACCACUAUUUCCAUUAACUUUUAUGUAAAUCUACUAGAAAUUUGAUUUCUAACUUUAAACAAAAUAGCGGCUUAGUAUGAUAUCAAAGAAUUGGAAGAUCUUGAAUUUGAGUCUUUUGUAAAUCAUUUGUAAAUAUUUUAACACCAAAUAUUUAACCACGGGGUAUAAUUAGAAGAAAAUUCAUCCAUGGGCACAUAUAAUAUAUCAAAUUUAAUUGGACCUACAUGCAAAAAAGUUGUUUAUCUCAAAUUCCACUUGCUAAGGUAAUAUUUAAUUGGACCCGCAUGCAAAAAGUCAUUUAUCAUGAAUUUUACUUCUAGGAUAAGAGCAUUUUCAACAAUUCUCAUUAUUUGAAAACCAUUUUGAAGUAUAAUUACAAAUAAAGUCCAUUUUUUUUACGAGUCCAAUACGCUAUGUAUAUUUCAUCUUUAAUUUGAUUUUUUCAACAAACUAUUAUGGCUUACUGUUGCGUUAAAAGUUGCAAGUGGAGGAUCUUAUAAACAAAUAAUAGAAUGAACAGAAGAAUUCAGGUUAUCGUUCCUACGAGGACUAUGUAUUUAAUCUAAUUUCAAUUAAAUCUAAAUUUAAUUGAAUAGUAUUCGCGAAAUUAUUCCUUUCGAUUUUAAACUACCGCAAGUGUACGGUUCGUUAACAAGUAAUAAAGUGGAUUAUAUGAGUUCGAAUAUCGUCCCACAGAGAUUGAUUAGUUCAAUUUUACCUAUCGUCGCCUUAACCGAAACAAUAGAAAUUCUUGAUAUCUUCGCUAACUAAAUUAUGAUUUAAUAACCUACUUAUAAAUAUAAAGUCUGAGUUAACUAAAUUAAAUGUGUGAUUAUAACUAAAUGCAAGUUUUAUAAAAAUAUGAUAAUGAAAUGCGUACUAGGAUCCCGAAUCCCCUUAUAUCAAUCCUCUUUAAUCCGAAUUUUAUAAAAUUGACAACACGAUUCAAUUAUGAAGACCAAUAUUCCUAAUUUAUUUAACAAUUUCUCUCGAGUAGAAUUAAAUCUAUUUUCACAUGCGAUCCGACUAUAUUUCUAUGACGGAUGCGAACAUAUAAAAAUGCAUUAAAGAUUUAUGAAUACUUAAAGAUCACAUAAAGUAUAGCGGUAUAUUUUUAUCCCCUAUCGAACUUUACGACAAUUAACAUAAUGUCUAACUCAUUUUCCAUCUCUCGAGGGUAAAACAAGCCACAAAUCUCAUACAACUAUUGCGCACAUAAUUGUAGAGAAAAUAAAAUUCAUGCCAAUCAUUCAAUAAUUAAAAACAUGUUUUAACGUCAAAUAAAUAAAAUUCAAGAUUAAGGGUUCAUAAUGUAAGGUUCACCGCAAAUCCUAGCACAUGAAAAUCUAGCCUAACAUAAUAGGAAAUAAAGAAAAGCAAUAAUUAAAACCAAGGAAGAAUAUCACCCAAUUGAUUCUUGAAGUGAAAUCUUGAAUCUUGAAAUGGAUUGCCUUGUUUUUGCCUUGUUCUUCCUCUCCAAAUCCUCCAAAAUUGUGUAUAACCCCCUCCAAUUCUGUAAAAGUGGCGUCCCCUCAUUCUAGUCAAGUUUUAGUUUAUAUAAAACCCUAAAAAUCUUCUUUCCAUAAGAGUUUCGGCGAAAUAAGGAAACUGCUGAAUCGGCCCCGAAUCUUAUUCUAUGCGACCUCAUAGUACAUUUCUAUGCUGUCGUCUAGAGUAAAAAAAUUUGAGAAAAAGUUCUCGGGAGGCUUCUAUGCGACCGCAUAGAAUUUAUACUAUGCGACUGCAUAGUUAUACCAUUUUUUCCGCUGGAUAACUUUUAAUAUUUUGGUCAUAAAUUUCUCUCCUAAUCUUUGAUUGAAGUGAUUCAAAGUGUAUUGUGAAGAAAACUCAAAGAUCUACAAUUUUGAUAGAAAUAGGCUUCCUCGAAUUCUGAUGUUUACUAUGUCAAAAAUGGAUCUCAAGUAGAGAUUAAAAUUCACGAGCAUAGCUUUUUCGCCUGAAAGUUGAUACUUGAUAAUACUUCGAUCAUAUUUCACCUCUUGACUCCUUUCCUCAUCCGAUUAACCUCUAACACUCUUGAAUCUUCAUUCCAUUUCCCAUUUCAUCUAUGGAUUAUUUGCAACUUGGUCCUCGAACUAUCACUUUGCUCCAUUUUAGUCUUUUUUCGGCUCUUUUCUUCUGAAUUUCACCAUGUUCAUUGAUGUUCUCUACAAUUCACAAAUAUAACGAGAUUAAGUCACAAUUCAAUCAUUUUUCUUAUUAUUAAAUCAUGUUUGUGACCUAAAUAAGUGUGCAAAAACACAUUUAUCAAAUAGCAAGACUUAAUUUGAAAGAGUUCUAUGUUAACAAUUAAACUCAUAACCACUUGAACUAAUCUAACUAAUUAAUUGGGAAAUGUUUAUGAUACUUAUGUAAUGACAAACACUUGGACUUUCAACUUCCCUACAUUUAAUCCAUUUUAAAAUCAUUCCGAGAUUUAGACAACACUUGUUUGGAUAUAAAGAUCAAUUUCCCUAAUUUGUUAAAUAAUCUCUCUAGUUGAAUUAAAUUUAUCCUCAUAUAUGACUCUCAUAUAUCUCUAUGAAUAAUACAAACAUGUUACAAUUUUGUAAAUCAUAAGAAUAUUUAUAACAUCAUGCAAAGCAUAUCGAUAUAUCUCUAUCCACUAUUGGACUUUACAAUAAUUUUUACUACGUUCUAUAAUUCCUAUUCUUUGCAUCUCUUCAAUGACCCCUUGAUCCAUUGCCUUUGAUUCUUCUUCUUUUUUCUUUUUUUUCCCUACAAUCCAAGCAAUUGAGUAUGAAAAUUGUGUGGAUAGGUGUAAUUUGUAUCGAAAUUUCUAUGAAGUUUGAAAGAAAUAUGGAUUUGUAGAUCAAAAGCUUCCUCAUUAGGCUUCCUCUUUAUAGGAUAUAUGUAAUUUCUCUCCCCCCCCCAGUAGCCUCAUUUGAUUGUUGGAUGAAGGUUUAUAUAAUUAUAGACCGAAGAAUUACGUAAAAAAUCGUACUAUAAUUGCUUUUCAAAUAGACGUUGAUUUGAACGAAGAAAUCGUUUGCAUAAUGUACUGUGGUGUGAUUGUGGAUGCUAAAUGUUUUGCUCGCUACUCAAAAUUCUUUCUACGUUGCAAUUGUAAGGAUCAAACCCUAGGAUCGCAAGGCUAAUAUUCUUUCCCCAUUUAUAAUUUGGUCCCUAAAUUUUCUCUUUUGUCUAGUUUGAGCCCGUUCCUAUUUGCAUCUUUGAUUCUGUUGGAAAAAUGAGUAAAUGGCUCACAUUUGACACAAUUUUCGAUUGGAUCUGUUGGUCCAAUUUGGAAGAUCAAAGUUGAUCCGUGAUCUUCUUUGUGUGAGCAUCAAAAUCAUUUAUUUACUUGCUAAAAAUGAAGCUCGAUGAAUGAGAAAUUGGAGCUCAAGUUGACCAUUGGAAGAUUAUUUAUGUGGGAAAAUAGGAUUUCUCACAUACGAAAAUCAAGAAAGCAUGAACGACUUUAUAUAUGACUACACUUUGAAAGGGUGUAAUCAUGUGUAGCAUAGAGGCUCUCUCCAUGCACGCGCACAGGGGGUACAAAUCACGGAUCGAAAUAACCUUUGGACCUUGAACUUGUGUGCGGGGGCGACCUGCGUACAUGAAUGUCGGAUCGAACGGAGCAAAAAUUGGCUCGUUUGAAGUGUCCACGAUUUGUAAUUUUUUACUUUCUCCAACUGACUUUUGAGUGUUUGAAAUUGAUAAAACUCCAACAGAAGUUGAAGUGACUCCAAUAUUUAUUGCCAUAGAUCUUAUAUUAAGUCUCAAUUUCCAGCAAUUUCUCACACGCACCAGAAAGUACACGAAAAUAUACACUUUGCUUAUUAUUGUUCUUUGCGUCUAUCUGCAUAUACAAUCUUGAGUUCUGCCAGCGUCGUCUUGGUGGAGAUAUUAUUAGGAUACUAAUCAAUUCGCCGGAGUAGUAUUUACGGUUCUAGAUCCUACUGGUUUUAUCGUUGUAUCUUGUAAAAGAGACGCUCGGAUUAAAUAUCUAGCACUUAAGGUGAGGGGACGAAUCUAUUUUAAGAAAUUGUGCUCGCACAGGCCUCGAGUUGAAAGUUCAUCUGUUAUUGAUUUAAUUCCUGCGAUUUUAUAUAUUUUUGCAAUUUAUUCGAGUGCUUUAUAUAAUUUGCAGUUUACCAUGUUGUCGUUCUAUUUAUGUUUAUUAAAAACAUAAUAAUAAUAAUAAAUUAAUCUGCGUUAUUUGGCCAACUAGAUUAAUUUGAUCAAAUUAAUUUGUUAAUUCUAUUGCAAUUUAAAUCUGCUAUAUUUUAUCUUGUUCACUACAUAUACGGUAUAUGCAAAAUCGGUAUAUGUAAUUACGGUAAUAUGCAUAUACGGUAUGUAUAAAUAUGGUAUGUUGUAUAUACGGUAUGCAUAAAUCCAACAUGUAAAUUGCACAUACUGUAUGAAUAAUCCGGUUUCAUCCACCGCACAAAAUUUCCAACAGAUUCUUCAUCUUUGAAUCUUAACAAAUAUUUACUCCAUAUUUCAAAAUCAUUAAUAUUUGUUCCAAUGCAAGUUUCAAAAGAUCACAAUUUAAUCCUCUAAACUUUUUAAUUGUUGAAUUUAAUUCUUGAGACUUGUAAAUUUCUUCCAAUUGUCCUCUUAACUCUUCUAAUUGAUCACGUGCAAUGCAAAUAAUCUUGAAUUGCCUCGAUUGAUUCCAUUUAAGCUCCAAAACUCCUUUUUCACGCCUAUUGUAUCCAAGUGGAAUUUUUCCAUAUAUUUUACAGAGAUUAAGUAGAUAUCCACUCAAUUGAUACAAAAUUAAUCAAAUUUAGAAGCUCGGAUAAGUCCAAAAGCACUCCCUAUAAUUUUUAUUUUUUUCACUUAACUUCUCCAUUGUUUACAUUGUCAUUUUCCUUUAUUUUGAAAUAAGAGUACGGAGAACUGUAAAAUAAUAAAUGAUAGUAGCUAAACUACUAUUGAUUACAGAGAAAAAUAGAAGAAAGUUGAAAAUUCGAUAGAUUUGUGUAUAUUAUAAUGAGAACUAAAGCCUAUAUCUGAUUAAUUUCCAAUGACUUUUCCUAGGAGUUCCUUGAAUUCUUAUCAAAAUAAUUACUAUCAAAAUAAAUAAAAGAAAGCAGAAAAUUCGAUAGACUUGUGUAUAUUAUAAUGAGAACUAAAAUUCAUAGUUUUUGGAGUUCCUUGGAUUCUUAUCCCUGGUAUAGAUCCGAUUUCAAAUACUUAGGUUAUCGCUUCUUCUUUUUUCCCCCUCUUUUUUUCAUAAAUAAAAAAAACCUUGUGGGGAAAAAUCCAAAAUUUGAAGUUUGAGCAUUCUUUUUCAAGGAUUGGUCAAGAAUUCUUCUUUAUUUAGAUAGAUUUAUGAACCUAUAUGCAAAAUUCUAUGCAUCUUGAUGUAGCGGAAGGUUAUAGGAAAAAUAAACAAAUCUUAGAAGAUGAAAAAACUCACAAUUUUUAUUUUUAUUUUUUAUUUCUGUUAAUCAAUGGGACCACGAAAGGCUUACAAUGCUUUAUAUAGGAAAAACCCUAGGAAAAUUCUGAAAAAUAAAAAAAUUAGACUAAAAUUUAUUGGCCCGUUUCCAAUCAAAUUAAACUAAAAUUUCGCCAAAAACGAAGAACCCCAAAAUUUCUCCAAAAAUUGAAAAGUUGUUUAUUUUUGCCUGUGCCAUUUCACUUUUUCAUAAAAUCUAAUUCCUUCUGCAUCACAUCACAUCUUCAAUUUCACUCGCCAAGUUUCAAGUAUAAAUAUGGCCUGAAGAAAUUUUCCUAGCGAAACUUAUCUUGAGGAUUUUAUGUAAAUUCUAUGUGUGUCUCUCUAGAAAUAAGAAUGGCUACUUCACAUUCUCUCACUUCUCUCCUCUUCUUUCACUUGGCCUUUUCUUCUUCUUUUGUGUCAACUCGAGUCUCUUCAUCAUCCAUUGCUUCUGACCAAAACAAGUUCUGGUCCAAAAACGUGCAAAAUCGAACGCCAGAUUCUGUCUUCAAAAAACUAUCCCCAUUAACAAAGAAGGAUCGCAAUUAUUAUAGAAAAUGAUAUCCAAAAACGAUUUCUCAGAAAAUCACAAUUUUUGGUCACUUGCUAAACUCUCUUCUUCAUUCGAAUUAAUCAAUUUUCACUAAUAAUGGUGCAUUACCUGUCAACUCCAAUACGCAGACAAAUUUUCUUAACAGGAUCUCAAUCCUUACAGAAGGAUAUAAAUUCCAUCUCUCAGAUUUAGAAGAAAAAAUUCCAAAUCGAGCAUUUCUCCCUCAAGAAAUAGCAUCAAAAAUUUCUAUCAGCAGAAAAAGCAUUACAAAACUAUUUCCCAAGUCCUUUGAACUGUCAAAGCAAUCUAUGGAAACAACUCUUUCUUAUUGCAAUGCACAAGCUAUAAAGGGAGAAAUCAAGAAUUGCCCAAAAUCCCUAGAAAAAAUGAUUAGUAUCUCAAAGUUUGCCUUAGGCAAAAACAACUUACUUGCACUGGCUUCAGAAUGCACGAGAAGUGAAUUCCUGAUAAGAAAGAUCAAGAAAUUUGAUAGGCAGAAAGUAGCUGCCUACCAUGAAGUUUAUCCUCCCUUUGCAGCCUAUUUCUGCCAUUCAAUCUCUUCAACUCAACUCUAUGCUGUAGACUUGGUUGAACCCAAGACUCGACUCCCAGUUAGCACUGUGAUUGCAAUAUGUCAUAUGGAUACCUCAGCUUGGCCUGCAAGUCAUGUGGCUUUUAAGAUUCUGAAAUUCUCCCCUGGAGAAGGCGAGGCAUGUCACUGGAUGUCAAGCAUUGAUCUGGCAUGGAUUGCCGUUGACUAGACAGUAUGAAAUUGGAAUGUGUGUACUCAAUCUGUAGCGAUGAAGUAGACGUAAUUCUUGAGCAGUAGAGGAAACUCGGUCAAUGUGGCUUGUAAAUUAAGAUUGUAUAGAAGCUUGAAUUCUGUAGGAUUGCGCAAGAAAGACAUCUUUGUUAUCAUCAGAUUAUAUAAUAAACUUAUGGGCAGAGGUGAUCUAUAAGAGUGUACCUUUUUCAUUGCUACGCUGCAAUUAAUGUUGAGAAAUUCUUAGUUCAAAUCCUAUAGAUCUGAAGUAUAUUUUCCAAUAUAAUUAUGAUAUUUACCUUCAAAUAUGGAAAAAAAGACGUUCUACCCAUAACCUGUGAAUUAUGCUUAUCUUGAUCAUUGAAAUAUGAAGAAGAAGAUGUUCCACCUAUAGUCUGUGAAUUACACUUUAUGUUGGCCAUUAAAAGUAGUCUUGGAAGUGAUUAUUACCAUCUCACACUUGAUCAUACUUGCUCAUUGAUUAUUUUCGGAGAAAAACAAUAUUGGAUGAGAAUGGAUGAAAAGAAAUGACAGUUUUUAAAAAAUGAGUAAAGUUGGACAUAUUUUAGAAGUUGAGGACCAAGGAAUCAAGUUUGAAAGUUGAAAGACUUUAAUUGUAAUAUAUCAGGAUUCGAUCUGAGCAAAAUGAGGAAACGUGGACCAAUUUAAACAAGUGAAAGUAUAAUUUUCAGCAAUUUAGAAUAUCCUAAAUUGACUUAAAUAGUUAAAUUAUGAUUCUCUAUGAACUUGGGACUCUAUUUUAGACCUAAAUUGAGGUCUAAAAUAUGAAUCUUUCAUUCAUAAUUAAAGAAGGUUAGAUAUACCAUCUUUAGGCAAAAUUAUUACACAUUCAAAUACAUCGAACCCUCAAGAUUUGCAUCUUAAUUUGGGGUUUGAGGAUUGAAGAACACAAUUGGCCGAGAGAUAUAUCUACUUUGAUGAGAAGAUUGAUGAUCCAUUAUUGAAAAUUGGGUGUUAAAGAACAACAAUUGUUAGGAUUAUUUUCUUUAUUCAUCAUAUUGAACUCUGUGAUUUUUAAUCCUUUGAUUUUUUUUAUUCCAAAAUUAUGAAUGGAUAAAUAAUUAGUUGUCAUGAUGAAUGAUAUAGCUUAGAUUUAAUACUUAUUUAAUUCAAAAGAUUCCAUGUAACUCUGAUGUGUGUUAAUUGCAUAUUGUGUUGAAUUAACAUUCAAUUGCUUGAUCACCAAUUUACAAGUUUAAGGAUGUUAUUGAGAACGAAAUGAGAUAUAUUUGUUUGAUUCGUGCAAUAUGUGACAUGUUUUUAUAAGAGAACGAGAGAUAAUUAUAGCUUGCAAUCUUGAUUGAAUUCCUACAAAUUAAUGCCUUUACAUGUGUAUGAAUUUAUAUAGAGAUAUAGUAAAUUCGAGUAUGUGAAUAUAUCUAGUUUUGCUCGAGAAAGACUAUUAGCUAAAAUUGGUUAAUUCCGUUAUUGAUACAUAUGAAAAAGAGGUUGAAUGAUGUUGGAUUGGUGAAUAUUAAUAGCCUAAGUGAAAUUGGGGUUCCUAACCACUUAAUCCUUAAAGUUCUCCACAAAUUAGAUUAUCUAGGUUAAAUUAGAACAUCUUAGGAUAAAUUAGUUAUAAAAAAACACUUGAUUUGAUAAAUUUUUACAAUGUUAAUUUAGAUUUACGCUAGAUUUAAGAUAAAAUUGAUAAUAAGUAUUUAGUCUUUGUGAGUGCAAUACUUGUCGUCAAAAUUCACUGUCAAUAUAACUUGUAUCAUUUCACACACUCGUGGAAUUAUGCGAUCAGUCUGCUUUCACUAUCACAAUGAGAACAAAAUUGGGUUGCUGUACAUAUUUCCUCUCCACACUGAAUUGCCAUAAGGCUAGAACCCUAAAGUUCCCUAAAAGCCCACAGCUUUGUUUUAGCUAGAGCAAAAAUACAAAACGAACAUGUGUAAAUAUGUGGACUCAAAGGGCAUAAGUUUUAGGCUUGCGUCAAACUUNAUAUAUGUAUGUAUGUAUGUAUGUAUGUAUGUAUGUAUGUAUGUAUGUAUGUACAAAUAAAUGUGUACAAAAUGAGUUAUUUACUCUCACAAACAAGCGGUCCCCACAUGAAUUUAAAAAAUGUCGGCUCGUGGUCUCCAUCUCAUACUGUGAUUAGUAAGUAAAGAAUUUUGUAAAAAAAAGUUUGUAAAUGUAGCAUGAUCCCCUCGGUUAAAUGUAAGAGAGCUUCAUUGGUCUAAUGGGCCAACCAAUGCAUUACUAGAGAAAGAGUCUAAGGGCUUCAAGCCCGUUAUGGCCCGAUGUCAAAUACCAUGUACAUAUAGUAACACUAUAAUAUAACCAGCCAAACAUUCUUUAAUAUAGAAACUAUGAGUACAUCUAAUGGACUUAGCCCUUGUUUGAGUCCCAUUUUAUCAAAAAUUUAUUUUAUCAAAACUCAUUUUGAAUCAUACAUUCCCCAAAAUAAUAAUAACAAUAAUAAUAAUGUUACACGUACAUUGAAAACUUUUUUUAUUUUUCAACCACACAUUCUCCAAAAAAUAUUUUUCCAAAAUACUUUUUUUUUUCUUCAUAAUGCGGCUCAAACAAGGGCUUAAUAAAAAUUUGAAGUCAAUUUCUGUAUCUUAGGCUAAAUUAUGUUUCUCAAUAGUGAACUAAGAGCUUGUAUUCAUUUUCCUUUUCUUUCCGAAAACUAGUGAUCAAGUUUAAUGUACUACAAUCCUCUGAGACCAUUCAACUUCAGAAAUACUUUCUUGAUGCCUAAUGAGUAAAAAAUAUUGUUGAAUGGAACACGCAUUAGUAGACGUGUCAAAGAUAAAAUGAUAUGACGCUAAAGUAUUGAUGGUAGUCCAUGUUAAAUUUUGUGAAUGUGUAUCAUAUUUGUUUUGGAAGAGUUGUACCCUGUCAAUAUCCUGAUUGCAUUCCAUCUUGCUGCAUAUUGAACAAGUGUGGUGCUCUGUCCUCGGAUAAAGAGAUAUAACGCAAUAUCGACCAAUAAUCUCAGUAAUUUCGUGAAAUUUUGAGAGAGAUUGAAAAAUAGUUUGAGCUUGUGACCUGUCCACUGCAUAUUAGGGUAAAAAUCAUGUGGCAUAGGCUUAUAUAGGGAGUACCAGACUUGUGUACAAGUACAUCCUCUGUUAUGAAUUUUGAAGAUUGUUUAUGAUUUAUUAUGAUUUCAUUUUGCAUUUUAAUAUUGUUUUGGUUGAUGGUGAGGCUUACGCUUCCUCUCAUGAAAGAAGAACGCUUAAGAAUCCAAUAACACCUUUUUUAAACAUCGAUUGACCGAGCAUGGUACAAUCGCUAGGGCUUUGCCUAUAAAAAUCGCAAACCCAACCCAACCCCGAAUUGGGCUGGAUUAGGUCUGGUCAGGUCACUUUGGAAUAAAAACGGUUCGAUUUGGGUUCCAAACCAUUAUAAAUUUUUUUGGGCCAGGUCGGUUUAGGUUUAAACCCAUUUAAACCGGCCCAACCCAAUAUCAAAUGUAAAACCCUCCCUCUUCCUCUCAUUUGUAGUGGUGUCAACAAGCCGAUUCACGAAUCGAAACUUGAAGCUCGAGCUUUGCUCAAGUAAGAUGGUCCAAGUUUUUUUACAAGCCAGAGUCGAGCUUUUGCUCGACCAAAAUAUCUUGGCUUGGGCCUUACUGAACAGAGUCGGACAUGCUCGAUUUUUUUUUUAAUUAAGGAUGCUGCCUAAAAAAAGCACUCAGCUACCUUUACAUAAUUUAAUUUAUUUUUUUAUGUGAAAAGGCUUGUGAGCCCGAGCUUCAAGCCAGGUUAGCUCAGGCUUUUUCCAGUCCCAACUAUGACCGGCUUGAGCCGACAAGCUUGAUUGCCAUCCCGACUCAUUCGCAUCAACCCGUGAAACCUUCUCUAUGCUUCUAAAACCUAGCUGCCUGCAUCCACUAAUCUUCCUCUUCUCUACAACUAUUUGGCAUUUGGUUGCCACUUUUCAAGCGUUCUCUUCAAUGUAUUGUUUGUGAGUUACUCUCUCUCCACUUCUGUUUUUUCGUAUUAAAGAUUUUUUUUUUGCAAACUGGGUUGUUAAACACUGCUUUAUAUUUAUUUCUUGUGUUCAGUCAUCCAAAUAAAAGUCCUGAUCCGGAAUUGAAGAAGUUCAUUUUUGCACGAGGUACUAACCAACAUUUUCUCACUUUGGUAUUUUUAUAGAAAUUCCAGACAUUAGUCUGAUAAAAAUAUUUUUCUUCUUUUUUUAAAGUGUUUGUAUUUUGCAUUUGGGUUCUCAGUUUAUUAAUAUAUUUAUUGAAUCAUGUAGAUUGCUUUAGGUGAGUAUUAAAUUGUACCAGUUGGUUGUCAAAAUAAGAGGUGCUUCUUCAUAUGUAAUGCAAUUUCGUUAUUUUAAAGUCAAUAAUUACCAGUUACAUUGUUUAAAUUAAUUAGCCUUAUUCCAUUUCUUAUAUGGUUUCUAGAUUCUGUCAUAUAUUUAGUCCAUUGUUCUUGAAUUAUUUGCAGCAAGGUUAUAGAAGAAGAAAGAGUGAUAUUUUGGUAUUCAAUUUCUGCUCUUAUUUUACCAAUUUUGCUCCUAUUUUUACCAGCAUGUUACCUCCAUUAAUCACAUUGAAUGCUGGGACUGGCAUAACAAGCUCUUUGGUGUUUGAUAUUUCCUGAAUGUACAUGUGUUUGUAGAGGGAUAUCCCCUUUGCUCCAGCUCAAGCCCAACAUCCACUAAGAGAAACUCCUAGAAUUGCAUUAGCCCCCAAUUUUGAUUUGUUUGGAGUUCCUUCAAUCUCCAGCACAAUCGCAUCAACCUCAGCUUGAUUCCUUUGUAUAGAAGAAAGGCAACGUGGUCAGUAUUAGCAGUAUUUUGUUUCUUGUUUGAUUUGUAUAGAUAUGAAUACAUAUAUAAAUAGUGAAAUUGAAGCUAUUAAUGAAACUCCUUCAACAUCUGUUCCCCCACUUCCACUAUUAUGUUUAGGGAAGAGAAAAAAUAAAAAAUCUUUGGAUGUGUGGGAACACUUCACAGUUGUAGGGAAUCCAAACGCUGAAGACGUUAGGUGUGCACAAAACUAUUGUGGGCAGGAUUAUGCCUGUGGGGCUAGGAAGUAUGGGACUAUUAACUUGAGGAAUCAUUUGGUUUUUUAUUGUAAGAAGUAUCUCAAAAGAUUGGAAGAUAGAUGACAAAAAGCCCAAUUGAGGGUUGUGUGAACAUUCUAGUUGGCUUUAAUAAGGAAGAGUGUAGGCUUGCAUGUGCUAAGAUGAUAAUAUUGGACGAAUUACCUUUUGGCUUUGUUGAAGGUGAGGGGUUUAGACAAUUUUGUAAGGUAGCAAGUCCUAAAUUUGAUCCUCCAUCUCGUAGAAUUGUUGUUGGAGAUCAGUUGUAUAUGGAUAAAAAAUUGCAAUUGAAAAAGAUCAUCCAACAUCAAAGAGUUUCUCUUACUAUUGAUACUUGAAGCUCCAUUCAAAAUAUUAGUUAUAUGUCUCUCACAGCACACUAUGUUGAUUUUGAUUGGAAGUUCAUAUAUGGAUUUUGGGUUUUUGUGUGAUUGCUAUUCAUAAGGGUGAAACCAUUGUUAAAGCUGUUGAGGCUUGUUUGCGUGUAUGGGGUAUUGAGACAUUGUUUACAAUUACAGUUGACAAUACAACUACAAAUGAAACAGCUAUUUCUUAUAUGGGGAGGAAGAUGAUUGGUUGAAGUGGUGAUGGGUGUGUUUUAAAUGGAAAGCAUCUGCAAAUGAGGUGUUGUACGCAUAUUGUUAAUUUGAUUGUGUGUGAGGGAUUAAAGGAAGCACAUGAUUCAAUUGUUAGUAUUCACAGUGUUGCGAAAUAUGUUAAAUCACUUGUGAAGAAAAAAUUGAUUGUAGUCACUUGUGUUUUUGGAUGUACUCACGAGGUGGAAUUCCACAUAUUUGAUGUUGGAAGCCACUUUAAAAUUUCAAAAAGCUUUUGAAAGGUUAGAGGAUGAUGAUGUGCAGUAUGUAAAUUAUUUUUAGGAGUAUGAUGGUUGUAGAAGAAGUGGGCCUCCUACAACUUUUGAUUGGGAAAAUGCUUCUAUUUUUGUGAAGUUCCUUAAAAGCUUUUAUGAAGUGAUUUUGAAGUUCACAACUUCAAUGCAUGUUAGCUCUAAUGUUUAUCUUCAUGAAGUAUGUUCACUUGUAAUUGAAUUGAAACAAUUGAGUUCAAGUGGUGAUUUUCUUUUGGGUGAAAUGGCUAUCUGUUGGGAAUCUAUUUAUACAUGUACAGCGGAAUUAAAAUAAUUUUUGAUUCCCACCAAGAAUCGUCUUCGUGUUUAGAUAGAAAUUGUGAUAAGAUUGUACCUUUUCAGAUCUGCAAACUUCUUUGCUAUUCUUUUCAUUCCAUCAAUCUUGAUUCAUCAUUCACAGCUGUCCAAUUGUCCAGCCUCCAACGGUAAUCCAUACAGAGAUCAAGAUUGCAGCUACUAGGGUUUUCUCUCUUGUGCCAACAAGAAUAAUGAAAAUCAUGUGGACCUCAAACCCUAACCAUGUAUUUAUAUAAACCCAAACGGGCUCGGUCCGGUCCGAUCCAAUAUUUAAUUAAUCCAUUUAAUUAAAUUCGGUCCGUGAAUUAAUUAAUCUAAUUAAUAAAUUCGACAAUAUAAUUAACAAAUCCAAUUAAUUAAUUUAUCCAACGAUUGUUAAAUUAACCAAUUAACAAUUUGAAAUCUUCCAAUUUUCUUUUGUGUGCGACCCAUUAGGUUCCCGACCACGAUAUCUAACGACGUGAAAUAUUAUUUUCAUCUAAUUAAAAUUGAUAAAUUAAAACACCCUUUUAAUUUAUCGUCAAUUUACACUCGCCAUCCCUGAUUGACAUCUAGCAAUGUGUCAAGGCAAUACAUGUGACGGGAAAUGUCACGUGGUAUGACAAAACCAAAUUCGUUCGUUUACCGUGAAAUUAUAAUCCCUUCGUUAAUAUGAUCCGAUCAAUUACGAGAUAUGGAAUUGUGUCAAUCUCGAAUUUCAAUCAUAUCUUUCACUCCACUAUUAAGUUAAUAUAAGUCGAAAACUCCUUUUCGACUUAUGAGUACACCUUGGCCAAUGAUUUUGUUAUCGACUUAAUUGAAUAAAACGCAGAUCAUAAUUUCCUACUAUCUAAGAGUGACGAAUCUUUUAUUGGUCAAUCAUAACCUUCAUACAAUUCUUGACGUACCAGAACGAUGUCGUAUUAGCGGCCCUUUACAGAGCAACAUCAACACCGCCAAAGUAUGACUGUCCUCAUGUAAGGUACCAUGACGACCUCAAGUCUAAAGACCAAUUUCACUACCAAACGUUAGAGAUUAACCACUGACACUCAGAUAGUUAUAAUAUGGAAUCUCUCGACGGGUCUCCAAUGUUUUGUUCUAUAACAAAACAUCCACUUGUCAUUUAAGUGUCACCACACUUUAGUUUGUGAGAUCAGCUACUUACUUCACAAGUAAGAAAUGUCACACGUGAUGAUCUAUCAGUAAUAACGAUAUCCGUAUCUCGUUAUCACUUAUGACCAUGGACAAUUUAAGAUUCAAUCAGAUGUAAUUUGUAUCUCACAAUCACAACUCCUUGUGAUUAAUAAAUUACGAAGAUUUGAAUCUACGGACUCUAUUAUUUAUUUAAUUAUCUAUUAAUUAAAUAAUAGAUCUGACAUUUAAUUGCAUUAAUUAUAUAUAAAAGUAUUUAUGUCCAAAAUUGAUUGGACCUAGGGCAUAAUAUUUACAAACUCCCACUUGCACUAGAUCCAAUCAUUUAUGUAUCCAUUAUCAUAAGUCUACAUGACGAUCAUGUUUAUGCUACGACAACUCUUUGUCAAUGGAUCUGUAAUAUUGUUAAAUGUGGGAAUUUGUUCUUCUCUUUACGUCAUUUCUAUGUAUUAUCUCUCUGAUGAGAUUAUAUCGCGUUAAUACAUGUUUGGAUCAUUGAUGAGACCUUAGUUCAUUUGCUUUCGCAAUGGCUCUAUUGUUAUCACAAUACAAUGGUAUGUGAUCAACAAUAUCAGGAACUACUCCAAGUUUAUUUAUGAACAUCAUGAUCCAUAUUGCAACUCUUUGCUACUUCUGAAGUAACCAUGUAUUAGGUUUCUACUAUUGAAUCAACGGUUGCUUCACGUUUGAAACCUUUCCAACAUACCGCUUAAGAGUAAACUAGUUUCUUCAUAUGAAAUUUUCUCAAGAUUUCAUCUAUGUAAAUUGGGAUGAGUUAAGCAAUCUUCUAGAUCUACCUCUAUAGAUCUAGUUGCUUAUCCCAUAUCGUUUAUGAAUAAAUUCUUUAACAACCAUUAUUUUAACGAUUGAAUUAUAGGGAUGUCAUUUUCUAUAAUAUUAGGAAUACGACAAUGCUCCCACUAUCUUAUUUUCAAAUUUGAUAAAAUCAAACACUUUGACUUUUCCCAUCAAAUCGAAAAUUUCAGCUCCCUAGAGAUUUAUCUUAACCUUUAGUUACGAUAUGCAACUGUUACAAAUAAAACCCGAAUGGACUUCAGCAGGGCCACAGGAGAAAGAUUUCACCAAGGUCAACACUUAACCUUUGCUUCUAGCAUUGCUUUGUAUAUAUGGAUAUUCACAUCCACAUCGACAUUUCCCUUGUAAACUAUUUACGAAACCUUAUGGGUUUUAUUCCAUCAGGAGGCUCUACCAAGGUCCAAACCUUGUUCACAUACGUCGAGUUCAUCUCAAGUAUCAUGGCCUCUUGCUGUCUCUUUUAAGUCAACACUUGACUUUAUUUUGUUGCAACUAGUAGGUUCAUUAUCCUGGAUCACUAAUACCUGAUUAAUGAUCAUGGAUUUAUACUUUCUUGAAGGUCGAAUGAUCCUACUAAAUUCCCAAAGAGCUGUCAUGUCCUCAAGAGUCUUUACUUCCUGAUCCAAAAUAUGUCCCAUAUCAGAUAUGGGAUCAAACUCGAAUUUAUUUACUUGGUUAACUAUAUCUAUGGACUCUUGAACUCUUUCAAAUUCUAUUUUACUCCCACUGUCCUCUCCUAGAGUAAAUAUUUUCUCUAAGAAGACGAUAUAUCGUGAGAUGAAGACUUUCUUCAUGAUAAUAGAAUUAAUAUUCAAACGUCGGCUUUGAAUAUCCCACAAAUACGUAUUUAUCAAAUUUAGCGUCAGACUUAUCCGAUUCAGGGCGCUUCAAAUAAGCGUCAUGGUCCCAAGCUUGCAUAUAAGAUAAAUUGGGACUAUUGCCUUUCCAUAACUCGUAUGGAUUCUUGUCAACCAAUUUAGACGGGACAUGAUUUAGUGUGUUGUACACUACAAUCAAUGCACGACUCCAAAACAAUUUUUGGGAGAUUUACAUGGCUUGUUAUUAACCGCAUUAUAUCUAAUAAUUAACGAUUCCUCCUUUUAGAUACAACACCUUGCUGCAGUGUAUAUGAAGGAAUCCACUGCAAGAGAAUCUCAUUCACUCUUAGAUAAUCUAGAUUUUAUUUUUAAGAUAUUCUCACUUGAUCGAAUCUUAAUGUGAGGGUAUCUUUACCUAUUUGUUUUUCUAAUUCUAGUGUGAAUUCCUUAAACUUUUCAAGAGUUUCAUGUUUGAGUUUUCAUCAAGUAUACAUGAUCAUUGAUGAAAUAAGAGAAACAUUACCUGACAUUAAUUGACACAAGUCCAUAUGCAUCACCAUGCAUUAGACCAGUAAUUAUGCUGACUUUUCUUCUUUUCAAGUAAAAGAAGAUUUGAUCAUUGUGUUAGAUAUGCAUAAUUUGUACUUGUCAAAAUCAAUUAAUUCCAAGUAUACAUCUUUAUGUAACUUUGGAAUUACAUUUCAUCUAAAUGAUAAAGUCUGUCAUGCCAGAUUUGGGUAAUAAUUAGAUUAUCGCAUUUAUGUCUUAUAAUUUCUAUGCUCAUUAUAGAAUCCUUAGUAUUAAAGAAUAUAAACGUCGUUUUGUAAUUUACCAUAGCCAUUGGGAUCUUUAUCAAGAUAAAUAAGAACAAAAAUUGUCCUUAACAUUAAAAUUGUUCAUGUCCGAACAUUAAAUUCAUUUUAAUGUUCCAGCUAUAGUGAGUAUAAAGCGACAUUUCUCUAAUUCUAAUACUAAAACCAAAAGGCAAUGGCAAGAGCCAAGAAGUAUAUUCGUACAGGCAAUGCAGCAAACUUUGCUCCUCUCCAACGUGUAUGUCAACUUCUCCCUUUCGCAGUGGUCUACUUCUUUUUAGUUUCUCCAUAUUUGUAUAAAUAUGAGAUUUACAUCUGGUAUCAAAUACCUAAGUAACUCGUGAAGUAGAUGUAAGUCACGCAAUAUUCCUUCCAAUUGACCUUUCAUUCUAUAAUGAAACCAAGGGUCAUUAGAUUUGGUAUUGUCCUUCGCUUAGACUGUCUUAACCAUAUUGGACGCUUUCACAAAGCCCCUUUAGACUUCCUCUUAAUAUCUUUAGAGAAAUCAAUGACUUGCCCACUAUUAACUUUGAUGUUGGGCUUAACAGUCUUAAACAUGUUAAGCAACUCAAUAAUUGUGCAUUCGAAUUUAUUCACGUUAAAUUCAUAAUUAGUUGUGAAUAGCUUUUUUUGACAGAGAUUGCAGAACCAAGUCACUAUUUAGUUCAUGGUUUAUGAUUGAACUCAAUUGAGACAUUUCUCAACGCCAAUCAUUUUCGGUGUUUAAGCAUCGAUAGAAGAUUACGUUGUUAUAUUGCACCGGUAUAGUUGUUUGAAAGUCUCAUAUCCUUCCACACAUGAUUAUUAUCACACAACUCUUUUUAAUGAAGAAUUAUGUGUUAACAUCUAUACUCUCAAGUCGCUUUUGUAACUCAGUGAUAUAGUUGCUAGUAUCACAUGCGUGCAAUACUAUCUCAUCACUGUGUUUAUUAUAGUAGCCACAUUUUCCUUAGUUGAGUCAUCGUCAGGUGUCUCUAGAAAAUGGCUACUUAAGAACAACCAACUUUUCUCAUGCUUGAAAACAAUUCUCAAAUUGCAGUGCCAAUAAAAAAAAUAUAGUUUGGUUGUUGGCAUUUAGUAUGCCAUUCAAAACAUAUGGUUACUCACGAUUCAAUAUAAAUGUAAAUGACGAAAAGGAAAAGAAUAAUAUAUAAAAAAUGUAUCAAUUAAUUUACCAUGGACUUUUAUUAAAUUAAUUAUGCUUCCACUGUUUAAAUCAAAUUUAUGACCCUCUCACAUAAAUUUAUGGAGUCCAUACUCGACACCCAGUGGGUUGGGAUCUCAUCCGUUAUACUAAGACCUUGAGUGUACUCAACAAACCUUAAUGUAACAUUUGGAUAGAUACUAUUAUCAAUUGUAUCUCCAUACAACUCCCAGAUCAUUAAGUUGACAACUCCUUGUUUUCACACAUUUUAUGUAUUAGCUUAACCUGCCUCUAAAAUUUAUCUCCUUGAGUGUACUCAACAAAAGAUAAUUUUUAGUUAAGUCAAAUCCGUCAUUCAGAAAUAUCAAAUAUUUCAUAGUGUCAAACAUAUCCCUAAUGGACCAACCUUGAGUGUACUCAACAAGCUGAGACGAUUUGAGACUCUGAUUUUUCACUAUAAUGAUGAAAGGCGAUUACAAAUGUGACUUAAUAUUUUAUGGAGGGAUUUUGCAUUCAAAAGUCUCAUCAACAACAAUACAAUCAUAUAUAUAUUAUUAUACAUCUACCAUGCAAAUAAAUUAUAUAUAACAUAAUAUAAUAGUGUGGACAAUUAUGGACUUUACUAUCUAAUCUUCCCGAGCCAUAAGGAAGACUAGUUGGUCAAUUUCUAGGGGUAUUACACUGAUCAGUAUCAAUGCGCCAUCUCCAUGGUCUCCUCCUCUUCUUAUUUCUUCAAUUAGUCCAAUUGCAACAUGUAUCCUAUACUAGUUGGCACGCAGGCCUAAAAGAUAUUGGACUCGCGGCCCAAAAUAAUAACAAUAAUAACGGGCUCGCAAGCCCAAAACAAGUAAGAGCUCCCAGACCCAUAAAACGACAAGAAUAAAAUUAACCAUUCAAUACAUCCAUAUGGUCGAGUCCAUAAUUGUCCACUAAUAAUACAUUCAUCACAUAAAUGUAUACAUAUUUAAUAUCUAAUAUUAUAUGCAAAUUAGUUUCAAAUUUCUAGUAAUUAAGACGUCUAAACUCUUUUAGACAAAUGGAUCAGAAUAAUUAAAUAAUUAAUUAAUCAUAUUAAUCGAUUAUUUAAUUAGCAGGAAUAUUUAAUUAAAAUCAAAUUUUAAUUAAAUAACAAAUUAGAGUCCAACUCUAAUUCAACAAUUAUAUGGUGGGAUUAUUUAAUUAAAAUCAAAUCUUAAUUAAAUAUCAAAUUAGAGUCCAACUCUAAUUUCAAAAUGUAAGGCGGUUGAAUUUAAUUAAAAUCAAAUUUUAAUUAAAUAGCAAAAUUAGAGUCUAAUUCUAAUUCCAAUAUUUAGGGCGAAUUAAUUUAAUUAAAAUCAAAAUUUAAUUAAAUACCAAAUUAGAGUCCAACUCUAAUUUCAAGAUGAAAUUUAGGGGGAGAUAAUUUAAUUAAAAUCAAAUUUUAAUUAAAUGUCAAAUUAGAAUCGAAUUCUAAUUUCUAGAAUAUAUUCGGGGUGAAUAAUUAAUUAAAAUCAAAUUUUAAUUAAGUAUUAAAUUAAAGUCAAACUUUAAUUUAAAUUGAAUUAAUAUUUUUAUCUAAGAUAACACUCCUAAAUAAAAUAAAAUCCAAUAUAGGGUCAAAAUUUAAUAUUUAAGUUAAAAUCAUAUUUUAACGAAAAUAUAAAAGUCGUUAAAUUUUAAAUAAAAUUUUAACUUAGGUCAAAAUCAAAAUAUGGGUCAAACCCAAUUAAAAACAUAAUUUUAAAACCCAUUUAAAAUUUAAAUUCAAAACCCAUUUUGAAGUUGAAAUUUGACCCAAGUUAAUAUUUAUAGUCAAAGCCUCACAAUUUCGAGAUUUUUAGAACGGACCCUUCCAAUUUCACAAGUUAGAGAAAUAGGUCCUUAUUUGAAAUUCACAACUUAACCCUAAAAUUAAAUUGCAAGCAGGCCCUUCAAUUUAAAAUUAUAAAUAAGGCCUCACAAUUUCACAAAUUACAAGCAAGCCCGUUACAAUCAAAAUUGCAACAUUACCCCGAAUUGAAAUUACAUCCAGGGGCCUGAAAUUUCUAAAAUUUCAACCCAGGCCCAAUUCAUUUUUUUUCUUUUUUGUUUUUGUUGUUGGCCCCGGCCUCAUCGACCGGCGCCACAUUAAAGCCCCACGGUAGGAGUCCCUGGGCAGGAGCCACCUGAGCAGUGGCUCCUCUCGCUACAGCAGCGUUUUCAAGCUGCUGUGUAGGCAGCAGGUGUCUGCUGCCGCUCCGAGCAGCGGCGACAGUCGUCGCUGUUUCUUCCCGCUGGCAGUUGUCGAUUUUUGUUUUUUUUAUAUAUUAAACAAUUUCUAACAAAUUUUGAUCGUGAUAACAAAUAUUCUUAAUUGCUAGAAACUAGAACAUGAACAACAAUCAACUUUUGAUUGUACAAAGAUAUUAAACAAUUUCUAACAAACAAAAAGUAUGCUUUGAUAUCACUGUUGGGAAUCUACUUAUUCAUGCACAGCAGAAUUUAAAAUAAUUUUCGAUUCCCACCAAUAAUCGCCUUUGUGUUUAGAUAGAAAUUAUGAUAAGAUUGUACCUUUUCAGAUCUGCAAACUUCUUUACUAUUCUUUUCGUUCCAACAAUUUUGAUUCGUCAUCCACAGUUGUCCAAUUGUCCAGCCUCUAACGGUAAUUUACACAGAGAACAAGAUUGCAGCUACCAGGGUUUUCUCUCUUGUGCCAGCAAGAAUAAUGUAAAUCAUGUGGGCCUCAAACCCUAACCAUGUAUUUAUAUAAACCCAAAUAGGUUCGAUCUGGUCCGGUCCAAUAUUUAAUUAAUCCAUUUAAUUAAACCCGGUCCGUGAAUUAAUUAAUCUAAUUAAUUAAUUCGACAAUAUAAAUAACAAAUCCAAUUAAUUAAUUUAUCCAACGAUUAUUAAAUUAACCAAUUGGCAAUUUGAAAUCUUCCAAUUCUCUUUUGUGUGCGACCCAUUAGGUUCCCGACCACGAUAUCUAACGACGUGAAAUAUUAUUUUCAUCUAAUCAAAAUUGAUAAAUUAAAACACCCUUUUAAUUUAUCAUCAAUUCACAUUCGCCGUCCCUGAUUGACAUCUAGCAAUGUGUCAGGGCAAUACAUGUGACGGGAAAUGUCACGUGGUAUGACAAAACCAAAUUCGUUCGUUUACCGUGAAACUAUAAUCCCUUCGUCAAUAUGAUCCGAUCAAUUACGAGAUAUGGAAUUGUGUCAAUCCCGAAUUUCAAUCAUAUCUUUCACUCCACUAUUAAGUUAAUAUAAGUCGAAAACUCCUUUUCGACUUAUGAGUACACCUUGGCCAAAGAUUUCGUUAUCGACUUAAUUGAAUGAAACGCAGAUCAUAAUCUCCUACUAUCUAAGAGUGACGAAUCUUUUAUUGGUCAAUCAUAACCUUCAUACAAUUCUUGACGUACCAGAACGAUGUCGUAUUAGCGGUCCUUUGCAGAGCAACAUCAACACCGCCAAAGUAUGACUGUCCUCAUAUAAGGUACCAUGACGACCUCAAGUCUAAGGACCAAUUCCACUAUCGAACGUUAGAGAUUCACCACUGACACUCAGAUAGUUAUCCAUGUGGAAUCUCUCGACGGGUCUCCAAUGUUUUGUUAUAGAACAAAACAUCCACGUCUCAUUUAAGUGUCACCACACUUUAGCUUGUGAGAUCAACUACUUACUUCACAAGUAAGAAAUGCCACAUGUGAUGGUCUAUCCGUAAUAACGAUAUCUGUAUCUCGUUAUCACUUACGACCACAGACGAUUUAAGAUUCAAUUAGAUGUAAUUUGUAUCUCACAAUCACAACUCCUUGUGAUUAACAAAUUACGAAGAUUUGAAUCUACGGACUCUAUUAUUUAUUUAAUUGUCUAUUAAUUAAAUAAUAGAUCUGUCAUUUAAUUGCAUUAAUUAUAUAUAAAAGUAUUUAUGUCCAAAGUUGAUUGGAUCUAGGGCAUAAUACUUACACUAUCAACAUGAAGAAAAAGUUUGACAAGUAUUGUGGGAAAAUGGAAAAUGUUAAUCAGUUGUUGUUGAUUGCGAUUGUGCUUGAUCCACGAUACAAAUUGGCAUAUGUUGAUUUAUGUUUUGGUGAUAUUUAUGGUGAUAAGGAAGUUGCUUGUAAUAUGACAAAGAUUUUGAAAGACAAUUUGAUGUCUAUUUAUGAUUGGUAUGUGAGAUGUGAAACAAGAUCUGAAAGCAAUCAAAUAUCAAGUGACCUGAAUUCCUCAAGUGAGGUUUAUCCUGCAAAAGAAAGUCGAAUCUACGGACUCUAUUAUUUAUUUAAUUGUCUAUUAAUUAAAUAAUAGAUCUGUCAUUUAAUUGCAUUAAUUAUAUAUAAAAGUAUUUAUGUCCAAAGUUGAUUGGAUCUAGGGCAUAAUACUUACACUAUCAACAUGAAGAAAAAGUUUGACAAGUAUUGUGGGAAAAUGGAAAAUGUUAAUCAGUUGUUGUUGAUUGCGAUUGUGCUUGAUCCACGAUACAAAUUGGCAUAUGUUGAUUUAUGUUUUGGUGAUAUUUAUGGUGAUAAGGAAGUUGCUUGUAAUAUGACAAAGAUUUUGAAAGACAAUUUGAUGUCUAUUUAUGAUUGGUAUGUGAGAUGUGAAACAAGAUCUGAAAGCAAUCAAAUAUCAAGUGACCUGAAUUCCUCAAGUGAGGUUUAUCCUGCAAAAGAAAGUCCCACUUCAAGCGUGCUUCUUUCUCGUGUUUCUAGGUUUAAGAAAACACAAGUAGCAAAAGAUUUAGUUGAUUUGAAAAAUGAUGUGGAUAGAUACUUGUUAGAUGCUUGUGAAUAUAUCGAGGCCGGUGCUGUUGAUGUUUUUAAUUCAUGGAAAGUUAGUGGAAACAAAUAUGGUACAUUGUCAAAACUUGUAAGAGAUGUAAUGGCUAUUCAAGUGUAUAUGGUGGCUUCAGGAAGUGCUUUCAGUAUCCGAGGAAGAAUUCUUGAUCCAUUUCGUAGUUCUUUAAUUCCUAGGAUCGUAGAAGUUUUGGCGCGUACACAAAAUUGGAUAAAGUAGUCUACAAGUAUGGAGAAAUUCUAUAUGGAAGAUGUGGAGGGAUAUAAUAACUUGGAUAAGGGUAAUGUAGCUUUUUCAUAAAUUUUGUUAAAUAUGUAUUUUGUCAAAUUUAUUCCUAAUUUAAACAUUAUUUUUUGUAGAACUUUUGGAAUAAGAGAAAUCAAAUGAAGGCUAAAUCAAUGUGAUUAGUUCAUUUCUAAUUUUUUGAGGUAAUUUUUGUAUUCUAAUGUGCACAACUUUUUAUUAAUGUAAUAUUUAUCUUUUUCUCUAAGUAUUUCUAUUAUUUUUAUAGUAGCAAUGAUGCUUAAAACUUAUACGACAACUCAAAAGUCGUAACAUUUUACCUUAUUAUUUGUUUUAUGAGAGUUUUGAGUUUGGAUUACUGUAAUAUUUUUAAUUGCUGGAUAAUUGUAAUAUUUAAAUUUUCUUUUCAUGCUUGAUUGCUAUUUUGAUUGCAUUUAUUUUCAUUGAUAUUUUUUUAAUUAAAUUAAAUUACAUUGUUUCAGUUAAAUUUUUUUCUGAUACCAUGGUUUAUGAAAAUGACAAACUAUUAUCAGUUGGAAGAAAAAAUAUUAAGCUUUUUCUGAUUUUAUUUGAGACAUAUUAGGAUUCAUUUUGCAUUUUGAAACUAAUCAAAAAAAGAAAAAAUAUAUAAUAAUUGUUGAUCCGGCCGAAUAGGCCAAACUGAGUCAAGCCAGGCUGGGUCGAUUCGUGUUAUUGACUGAGUCGAUUCGAUUCAAGAAAUAGCUCAAAACUGGUAAAGUCGGGUUGGGUCAGAUUUGGAUAAAAACCAGCCCGGCCCGAUCCAUUGCCCACUCCUAAUAAUAGCCCUUUUGGGAAAAUGGUUGGAAAAUAUGUCAGGAUAAUACGGUUGAUUUUGUUCUAACAGCUUGAUGAAAUAGAGAUGGGAACCCUCCUGAUCAUUCUUUGAAACUGUUGGUGGUCAAUUUUCGAGGCCUCAAGCGCGAAUGAGUAUAUCGCCAACUCAUCCAGUUAAGGAUAAGUUUUGUUUGCCAGCUCAUAACCAGCAAUAAAGUUUACGAGUGCGCCGAUGCUUAUUGUUAGAAAAUAAGCUCUUCUACUAUUAGGCUUGAUUUCUUCAAAGUUAAAAGUAAGUAAAAAGUUACUUAUUGAAAGGUUAUUUUAAAUUUUAUAGUUGUUAGAUUGUUAAAUUAAAUUCAAUUUUAUUGAAAGGGUCAAGUAUAAUAAACUGGGAAAUUGAGUAAAAUGAAAGAAAAUUUAGUUUUAGUGAUUAAAAAGACUUUAAAAAUUGCUUAAAUGUAAAAUGAUUAAGUUUGGGUAUCGUCUAUUUAAUUAUUGAAAUUACUUAAAAUAAUUAAUUUUUGAUUUAAAAUUUAUAUCAUCUUUCAGGUAGCUAUACGGAUAUCGGGACAACUUACCAACCAAGUUGAUUUUGGCAUAUAUAGUUUUGUGAGUGGAAAAAUAUAAAUAUUUUUAAAGUAUUUAUAAAUUAAGCACAUUAGUAAAGUAUGUGCAAUUACGUGUUCGAUUUUAUGACUAUUACAGGAAUCUUUUUUUUAUUAUGAUAUAUGUGAAAUCUCAAAGAUUAUUUAAGGCACAUUUGUAACUUGGUAUGUAGAACGUGUGAUAUUGAGAUUUGUAUAGUAUGUGAGACACGUAAUAUUGAGUUCGGCAAAAAAAGUACCCAUAAUUAUAUACUUCUUCUAGUUCACAGGGGGGGCCUUAACCGUGUUUUAUCAUACAUGGAGGGGUCUUGACCUGACAUUGGUCUUAAUCAUAUACAUAUAGUUCACAAAGUGACACCUUGGCCGUGUUCUAAAAUUGAUUACUAGAGAUCUUUGAGAUCGACUUUCGUUCACGGAGAGGGCCAAAGGCUCCUGGCGAAAGUUCUUAACCCGAGAGAUAGAUUACAUAUUUUAGUCAAAUGGUACAUUUUUGGUGAAUUUUUCAGCACGUUUGAUGUGAUGAGAUUAUAGCAUGAUUAUUAGCUGAUGUUCAUAUCAUGAUUUUAAGAUGAUAUUUUAUGACCUUAUAUACAUAUUUCACUUUUUGGCUAUAAUUACAUGAUGUUAGCUUGUAAAUUAUCAAAUGAUAUAAAUUUGAUUUUCAAUAAAAAUGUAUAAAUGAAAAAGUAUAUUUAUUUUGAAUUUCUCCACUCACUGGGCUAUCAACUCAUAUAUUUUUUCACAUUUUUCCUUAUCAGGCAAUAGUUGAGUAUCUAUGCAUCUUUUGGAAUUGAACCUUUGGUUUUGGAGUCAGAGUCACACGACAGAGUUUGUUAGUAUGACUCACUUCAUAGAGCAUGUAGUCAGUAUUUUGAGACACAUGUUCUUAUCUAGAAGUUAUUUUGUAUCACUUGUAAAUUGUUAAGGGGCUCACUAUAUAUUUUGUAUUUACAUGCAAUUUAGAAGUGAUUUUGUAUCAAUUGUAAAUGGUUAAGGGGCUCACUAUGUAUUUUGUAUCUACAUGCAUAUUUCAUGUUAUUUUUGUUAAAAAUUGAGAUUUCGGCUUAUCUCUAUUGUGUUGUGUUAUAGUUUGGGAUUUGUGUGCAAUUAAUCACAGGUUGGUUAGUCUUAUCUAUAGGGGAGAUAAUGCCGAAAUUCUGUUAGAAAAAUGAUGUAUAAAAAGUGAUAUAUUGUACUUGUAGUAACUUUGAUGGUGGGUCCGACUUUUAGUUGGUAUCCGUCAUCGGCGCAUGUCACGUUCGGGUCCAGUAGCGUUAUACGGGGCAGGGUGUGUCACUUAUUGACAACCUUGCAAAGGAGAAUUUAGGCUUCUUGUCCCGUGAUACCAUCCAUCUACAUGUACUAAUCUCUAGUGUCAUCGACCUCCAAUAUUGAUGAACCAAUCAAUAUCAAAACUACGGCCUCAAGAGAAAUGCAAAUAUACGCUUAACAAAUGUGUAACUAGUUUUUGUAAAGUGAACUAAUUAAGAUGUACACAUGGAAUUUGCAAUGGAAAUAGUCAGAUUCUUUUUUGCUGAUAUUGUUUCAAAUUGAAUUUUUUUUUUUCAUAAUAUUGUGUCUUCAAUUUUGCAAAUAUAUGCUUGACAUAUUUUAAUGUUUUCUUCAUCAUUUCAAAUGUUAUCGACUUUUCAAGAAUAAAAAACAAAAGUUUGAUUCUUUUACUGCGUCUCAGUACAAAGGUUUGGUACAUUUGUUGUACCAACUACAAGACGUUUGGGGCAUGUACUGACCUUUAAUUCUGCAUCAAACAAACAGUAAAAUGUGUGAAAUGAAAAUCAGUAACAUUAAAAAUAAAUAAGGAGAUACUUUAUUUCCUGAAAAAGGCAACAAUACAACUUUCAUUACAUAACACCUAACACAAAAUCCCCCACACUAAAACCCUUUACCCAAAUUUUGAAGGUAAAGACCCCCCAACCCAAAACACAUUCUAUAGAUCUAGCAACAAAACUAUAUUACACAAACUCACACAUAUCCAAACAGCCAAAUCUUCCACACACUUGGUGUUGUUGAUUGGAGGGUGUUGAUUUCAGCUUCCAUCUCCUUCCUAGUCCAUAAAAAACCUAGGAAUCAGCUUCUUGGAUCUCUUACACAUUGGAAGGUCACACCACACAAAGAAGGUGCAUCCACCCAAAUCUUGACUUCGUGGACAAGUGAGAAAUCUUCUUCUUAGGUUUAGGUUCUUCUAGGAGGUCUUCAUCUUCACUGGAUAACCACAUCUAUAUGCAUUCAUCUCCAUCUAUGAGCUGAUUUUUUUUUAUUUUUUUUUUAUUUUUUUUUAUAGUAAAUGUAGGAGGGAGAGACAUUAAUAGUGAAUGAAAAUGAGGGAAAUAAACAAUGAAGUGCAAUAAUAGAAGGGAAAAUGUGAUCUGACUAAAAUGUCAUUGCCUUAGUUGGUCAAAAUUAUCAAUUUUCCAAUUUUUUAUGUCAACUGAUGGCUUAAUUGAAGGAUUUUGUUAGAUUGAACUCCAAGUGCGAAUUUUUGAAAUAUUUGUAGUGCGCGUAGUACAAAUGAAAGGUUUUGGUCAAACAUGUGAUUAAAUAAAAGAUUUGUGAUCCUUUUGAUUUCCAGCAAGUGUAUGGUAUUGUAAACAAGUAAUAAAGUGAUGAAUAAAAUAUUGUUUCCCCAAGUUCUAUGUACUUGAUCUAGUGUCAAUUAAUUCUAACAUUAAUUGAUUAGCCAAGUGUUUUUGAAGAAUUUAUAGUAAUUAAUCUAAUUAAACUAUGUAUUUUAGUGAGCAUGAGCUUUGUUAAUUUAGAUGAGAAGGUUACUAAAAACUCAAAUCCACUUUAUUAACCCGUUUCAAUACAAUGAUAAUAUUUGUACAUUUUUGUUGAUCAAUGCUCCUAAGUUGAUUAAGAACAUCUUGCGAUGUUGAUUAAAUCUAUCUCUCAUGGGACAUUCCUAUAUCUCUAUGAAAGAUGCCAACAUAAAAGCAUACAUUAAAAACAUUAGAGCAUCUAUAGAAAUCAUGAAAGCAUAGUAGUGAGUAUAAAGUGCUAUAUAUCCUAUUGUUUAUCUCGAAAUCAAUAAAAUUUAGAAUCAAUCCAAUUAGUGAUCAUGUAACUUAAAUGUCGUUAAAUUCUAUAAUAAUCAUUCAAGAAUAAAUACAUAUUGGGCAUCAAAUUUAUAUUAAAACAUCAUAAAAGGUUCAUCAAUGUCUUAGUAAUUACAAAACCUAGCCUAGCUUUAUAAAAUCAUUAAAAAAACAUGUUUAAUUGGAAGAACAUAACUCGAAUUUUAGAUUGAUGAAGGAGAAAGAUGAUGGCUAUUGAAAUUUUGAAUCUUUUCAUUGGUUUUUUUGAUGAAUCUUCAAUAUAUCUUCUUGUUGUCUACCCCAAAAUUAAGGUUGAAACUCAAAUUUCUUGAAAACUUCUAAUUGCCCUUUAAUUCUCGCAAGAACACUGAAUUGGUCUUUCUUUGGUGAUGUCAAUUGACAAAUUUAGUGUAUGAAAGGUUUGUGAGAUGUUCCCCUAAUGUUUUCUGUUGUUAGGUAUUUAUAUGAGUUGAAAAUCACGUCCAAAUUGAUUUUCGAAAGAAUUUCCAAUAGAAUAAGGAAAGUUGUCUUAGCGAGCACAUAUUUUUAUGUCAGCACAGUCAUCAGUAUUUUUAUUAUGACUUUCUCUUUGGAUAUCUGAUUGAAAAAAAUUCUAAGUGUAUUGGAAAACUAACUCAAAUGUCUACAACUUUACUAGAAAUAGAUUUUUUUUUUCUCAAUUCAAUUGUUUAUAUGUAAAAAAAUAAGUCUCAAUUUUGGGCUAAAAAUUUGGAAAAUAACUUGCUCGAUUGAAAAUUGAUACGUGAAAAAUACUUUGAUUAUAUUUUCAUUCCUUUUUUUACUUCUAAUUGUAUAUUCAAUUGACUCCUAGUAAUAUUCAAUUAUCAUUUGGUAGUUCGAAUAAACUUUUAAAUAUCUACAAUUUGGUCCUCAAACUUUAGACUGCUAUUUUUCAUUGUUUUUCGUUGAUUUAUUCUAAUUUUUCGUCUAAUCAUCUAAUUUUUUUUAAUAAACGAAAUAUACACAAUAUUACAGUGGGUGCUAUUUCCAUCAACAUUUUUUAUAAGUACAUCACACUCUAAGUUCAUCCCUAAUAAAAUUUUAAAAAUUUUAAAAAAAUACUAUUUACAUCAAUGUCAUAUUCAAAUCUUGUCCUUAUUAAAUUCAUUCAUUUAAAUACUAUAUAUCCACAUGAAUUUAAUAUAUUCAUCCCACUUUAAAUACAUCCCUAUCACUAUAGAUUUGUCCAAUCCCUAAAACCAUAAACUUUUAAACCAAAUGAAUGAAUAAGAAUGAAACUGAGCUGAUUGAACAUUAAAUUAAUAGCUGUUGAAGUUUUGAAUAUUAUAAUACUUCAAACAACAAAGGCUAAAGAGAGAAAGAAGAAGAAAGUUCGAUUAAGCAAACCGAAUUUUACUAACUUUGUUGGCUAUGAUUAUUCUUCUUUCUUGAUUAACUGAUGAAACUGUAUCAGAUUCCAUUUUGCAUUCUUGAAAUCCGAUAUGAUUCUCGACACAGAAAUCACAUUUAGGGCCACCAUGACCUAUAAUUAUAUUCAUGUAUUUUUCUCCAUCUAUUAGGAUUCUAGUUAAGCACAAAUGAAAAUAAAAACUAGUGGAUCAAUUUAGAACUUUCAAUUUAGAACUAUGUAUUUUAUUUAAUUUUGUUUAUGUCUAUUUAAGUAAAUUAACACACACACACACACACACACACAGAAAUGGUAUCGCUAUUUCCAUCCACACAUUAUAUAUAUGUGCGUCUCUCUCUCUCUCUCAAUUAGGUGUAAUGCGUACCUUCAAACUUGAGUCCUCAUAUGGGUAUUAGCCCAAAACCUCCUAAUUUCUACAGCCAAUUUCAGUCAACGCACAGUAAAAAUCAGCUGCAGCGUAAGAAAUGGGCCCAGAAAAACCCAUGUGGAGAGCAAAGGUAUUCUCCACGGAGGCAAUUCAAGCAGUACGGUCACUAAAAUUGGCACAAAAAUCCCCAUCCAGAUUAGAACAAGUUUUUAGCAAUAAACAAAAUAGGCUUUUGAAGGCUGAUUUAUUAGAUGUGUUGGCUGAGUUACAGAGGCUGAAUGAAUUGGAUUCAACCCUUAAGGUAUUGUUUAAACUUUAAAGACUGCCCCUUUAAACAUUGAUGUGAAGCAAACCCACCUACAAAUCAACCAAAACAAUCAAUUAGUGUAAGGAUUUGCAAAGUAAAAUGAAGAAAAUCAAGACCCAAAAAUCUGAAAGUUACAAAGAAAGGCAAAGGAGGAUUUGAUUUGCACUAAGCAGAGGAGGUUUUCUUACGUUUUUGAGGUGUAGUAAAAUGAAGAGAAAGGUCUCCUAUUUAUAGGCUCAUAGGGGAGAAUGGAUUUCCCAGAAGUCUUGCAAGAUCAGAUUGAAUAAAAAUUGCAAGAUUAUAUCCAAACUGAAAGAUAGAGCUCAUCCAACAAAAACGAGAUAAAAUUGGUUUGACAAAGAUAACGAUAAUAUUUAUCUAUCUUUCAUGUGAUUUUCAAAUGGGCAAAUUAGGCCCACUACCGUCUAAAUAUCACAAAUUAGAAUAAUACCCCUAAAACUAAUUAAAAUUCUUGUACCACCGUAAUUAAUAUGCUAAAAAUCCCCAGAAGCAGUGGAGAAGUUGAAAAUGUAUUCUAGAAUUUCAAUACCAAUUGAGAUCUCAAAAUCUCAUUAUCAGAAGUCUGAAAUUUUGAUGAAGCACAUAAUGUCAGAGUUAGACACCGACAAGAGGGAAGAAGAAGCAUUAGCGCUUUUAAUUAUUUUCUGAGUUACAUUUUCAUUCAUACAGGUUUUUUUCUUGAAUUUUUUAUUUUUUCUGAAAUUUUUAUGCUUAUAUUUAUGUGUUUGUAUAUGUAUAGACUUUAUCCAUUUGCUAAGAAGGAUUGGUAUGAUAUCAAAGCAUUGUCAAUUUUCUACUCGUACUAGGGGGAAUAUUUAUCUCUUUAAAUUAUAUUCGUUUUGAUGGAGAAAUGAUAUUUGACACUUGUUGAAGCAAAUUGAUUGAUGAAUUGGUUUAUCCAUUGAAACCUAUGUACAUCUAGAAAGUAGUAAUUUUUCCCUCAACAAGCGAUCUAGUUGUCUGCUGUGCAGAGGGUGUAACAAAUGUUUUUUUUUUUUUUUUUAAAGGUUUCAUCUGUUGUAUUUUCCAUCAAAAGUUACUAGUACACUGUUUCAUUUGGAUAUUGUUUCCUCUCCUACUAUUUUUUUGUCCCUCCUAAAUAAUUAAGGAUCCUGAAACUAUGGAUUUGGCAUCAAGAUGUUAGUUUAUUGCUUAGCUAAGAUUCUUCUAGUUUGUAGUUAUCAAACUUUGAGUUCAUUGCACAAAAGAAGUUAUGAUGUCACUUUCUCGAGGUGUUAUGGCAUUUGAGUUUUGUGUAUUUAGAGAUGGGUAAUUGGCACAAAACGUCCUUACCUUUCAAGUCUAUUGUGGAAAACGUCCCUACCUUUUAAGUCUAUUGUGGAAAACGUCCCUACCUUUCAUUUUUUGACAUUUUUGCCCUCAUUUCAACCUUUCUUUGAAUUGGGCGUCCUUCCGUCCAUAUUCCGUCAGUUUUUCCGUUAAUUAAAGGGUAAUUGGCACAAAACGUCCCUACCUUUUAAGUCUAUUGUGGAAAACGUCCCUACCUUUCAUUUUUUUUGCAUUUUUGCCCUCAUUUCAACCUUUGCGUUGGACAUCCUUCCGUCCAUAUUCCGUCAGUUUUUCCGUUAAUUAAAUACAAAAAUACCUUUUUCUUUCCAUAAACAAGGGUAAAAUUGUCCUCACCCACUUCACACCUUCUUCUCGCCAUCAACUUAGUCCAUAAAUAACAGUAGCAGCAACAUGAAUCUGAAAAUACUUUAAAUGAUUAAGUUAAAUAAAGAAAAAAUAUCGUGAACACAUUAUAUUUCACAAUUCCACAACUACUGUUGCUGUCAUCUUGUGUCACUGGAAAAUUUUAGAAAGACGUAUUAAAUGGGUAGUCAAUUUAUAAUAAGCCAAAAUGAUGAAUGGCUCUUUUUGGCUUAAUGGAGAAGAUGAAUGGCUCAUUUUAAAUUGACUCAUUAUAAAUUGACUACCCAUUUAAUACGUCUUUCUAAAUUUUUUCAGUGACACAAGAUGACAGCAACAGUAGUUAUGGAAUUGUGAAAUAUAAUGUGUUCACGAUAUUUUUUCUUUAUUUAACUUAAUCAUUUAAAGUAUUUGCAGAUUCAUGUUGCUGUUACUGUUACAUAUGGACUAAGUUGAUGGCGGGAAAAAGGGGUGAAGUGGGUGAGGACAAUUUUACCCUUGUUUAUCGAAAGAAAAAGGUAUUUUUGUAUUUAAUUAACGAAAAAACUGACGGAAUAUGGACAGAAGGACGUCCAGUGCAAAGAAAGGUUGAAAUGAGGGCAAAAAUGUCAAAAAAUAAAAGGUAGGGACGUUUUCCACAAUAGACUUGAAAGGUAGGGACGUUUUGUGCCAAUUACCCGAAUGUUUAACGGAAAAACUGAUGGAAUAUGGACGGAAGGACGUCCAGCGCAAAGAAAGGUUGAAAUGAGGGCAAAAAUACCAAAAAAUGAAAGGUAGGGACGUUUUCCACAAUAGACUUGAAAGGUAGGGGCGUUUUGUGCCAAUUACCCUUUAGAGAUUCGUUACACAGUAUAAAUUAGUAAGAUGUGGCUUGUCGACUAACUGACUUAAAAUGUUUGCGAUGAAUGGAGAAAAAGGAGGGAAGGUGAUUGUGUCACUUUUUUUGGUCACUUUAUUGAAUCAGUGUUUUGCCAAAUCUGAAACAGAAUAUUCAAAUUCAGCUAAGGAUGAAUUAUGAAUUUACAUAAAAUGAUAUAUUUUAUUGAAUCAGUGUUUUGUUGCUUUUUGAGGGUUUGUCCCCCUUUUUUGAAUUUACAUUAGUUUUAUGAGUGUUUAUCACUUUUUUGAAUAGUGUGUCACUUUCAUAGUGAUGAAUGUUUAUGAAAAUUUGACACUUACAUCUUAGUUUAGUCAUCAAUUUUUGUUAGUUGCGAGCUUAUUGGAAACAUGGUUGUAUUUAAAAUUUUGGAUUAUGAUUAUAUUGUUCAAGUUGUUAAUUCAAAAGUUUUUAAUUUGUUCAUCAGUUGUAAAUUUAUUGGAUAAUUUGGCUAUAUUGAAAAUCGUGGGUCAUGAUUUGUCACUUUUUUUCAGUUACUUUUUUGAAUUUGUCACUUUUUUUUCAAAUUUCGUUACUUUUUGAGUGUUUGUCACUUUUUUUAAUGUGUAAUUUUUUUUAAUUUAUGUCUUUUUUUUUGAAUUCGCCACUUUUUUAAAACCUUUGUCACUUUUUUGAAUUUUAGUCAUUUUUUUUUGAAUUUUUAUCACUUUUUUUAAGUGAAAAUGUUGUAAUGUGAAAUGGUGACCGGUGGAAAAUUAUAUGAAAUGUUGGGCGAACGAAAUGGAUGGUGUUAUUUUGGUGUUUGUCAAUUUUUUUUUUACUACUAUUAAAUUUUGUCGCUUUUUUUUGAGUUUGUCACUUUUUUUAAAUUGUGUUAAAAAAAAAAAAUUGACAACUUUUAUUAAAAAAAGGGGAUAUUAUGUCACUUUUAAAUUUACAUGGUACUUUUUACUUCCAAAAAACAUUUUUUUUUAUUUUGUCAUUUUUUGAGUUUGUCAUCUUUUAUGUUUUUUGUCACUUUUUUGAAUAUUCAUCACCUUCUUAUCUUAUUAAAAAUGUGACAUGAUAUGUUAUAUUUUCCUAACAUAAUUAGCAUGUAGAUUAUCCUGGACAUGCUGAUUAUGUUAAGAACGUGAUUACUAAUGUUGCAUAAAUGGAUGGUGUUAUUUUGAUGUUUGUCACUUUUUUUAGUUUAUGUAACUUUUUUUCUUUAUUUUUUUUUCUGGUAUUUUGUCAUUUUUAGAGUUUUUCUAUCACAAUUUUGUCACUUUUUUUUGAGUUUGUGUUACUUUUUUAAAUUGUGUUAAAAAAAAGUGACAAUUUUUAUAAAAAAAAGUGGCACUUUGUCACUUUUUUAUUUUACACAUUAUUUUUUACUUUCAAAAAAUUUUUCAUAUGAUUUUUCAAAACACCCAUAAUUUUAAGGCUACUUUUCAAAUUCCCUCUAAGUUGGGUAUUUAGCAUAUAGCUCAAUGGUCUGAUUACCUCUAAAUACCCAACAUAAUUAGGUUACUUCAAUUGUGGUGUGGAUUUAAUUUUUCGAUCCUGGGCUUAUAGCCUAUGAAGUUAAAAUGGGCCUUGAUUUUUUAUCAUAACCUAGGGGAUUUGGGCAUCACUUACCAAACAUGCCCAACAAUUGAUUUUUUUAUUUUUUUUUGCACUUUUUUGACUUUAUGUUAUUUAGUUCAGCUUGAAAAAUUGACUUUUAAGAUUUAUCGUGUAAUUUCUGGUUUCAUCUCAAAGGAACUCACUCGAGUAAAAUCUUCAUUAAUCAAUAGUUGAGUUAUACAUUUUCAUCAAGUCCUGAAUUUUCAUAAGAUCAUAUCCUUGUUAUGAGCUGGAUGAUGCCGCUUCGUUUUUUCUUUACAUUUUUUAAUAAUAUCCAUUCUACUAAUUUUUUGCUGAUCUUCCCAUUCAAGCAGUUUGUUUUUGGUCUAUAGUAUUCAAGGUCAGGGGCUGAGGGAGCCUAGGCCUACCCCAAGCCAAUUUAGUGUUUUAGAUAAAAAUAAAUAAAUAAAAUAAACUGAGUGUAGGCUGUCUCGGAUGCUGUGUUGAACUCCGGCAAGUUGUAAAGAGCGAGUGCGACUGGCUUUGAAGCCGAGAGCCCCAUAUCUCUGAGUCCUUAUUUUGGCACUGUUCUAAAAGGCAAUAAUUGGCAGCGCCUAGGAGUCGCUAAUGCGCGAUGCACGGUAGAAACACAAAGCUAAGUGGCUUGACGCCUUAUUCAGCAAUUGUUGACUACUAAUGUGGGCCUAGGCAUGGUUAUGCGCACCUAGGCGGGCAUAAAUAUCAUUUUUUAAUUAUUUUUUUAUUUUUAUUUUACAAUUCAUCUAAGUUAAAAUUUAAAUGUUGAUUUUUUCACUUCGUCAGUUCUAAAAUUCAAAAUAGUUGUUUGAAGCCUUGAACAAAGGAAAUUUCUCAAAAAUUCUUAUUUAUUUACUAUUUAAUAUUUACAUUUGAAACUUACCUUUUUGUUGAAAACUUUGAAAAAAUGUAUAAAUUUCCUAUAAAUUUAUUUUAGGUGUUUGAUAGGUAUUAUCUUUAAUUAUUAAACAAUUUUUUCAUUGAUUAAAAAUUAAAAUAAGAAAAAGCCUUACACUUUUUUACACCUAUGCUCCGCGUAAGUUCACCUAGCCCUUAGCUUGGCCUUCAUGUGAUAUUCUUGGAUCUUUUACAUUUUAACAAGUUUAAUCGAAACAAUUCAUAGGCCCAACACGUGUUUUGGCCAAUCCGUGUAUAACCCAAUAAAAUAUCCAAUCCGGAUUCAUAAAAGGAAUGGAUUCUCAAGGUUUAAGGAUGGGAGUAAUACAUACUUCCUACACAAGAACUACAUUUCAAAACUAACAAACUUAUCAAAUUAUUUCAAAAUUCAGGUGUUAAUUUCAAUUAAUAAUAUAUAAUUAAUUGGAAUUAGUUAUCCCACCCAAAUAAUAGUAUCUCCCACCUACCCCCACCAAAUUAAUAAUAUCCCACCCCACUUGUAAGAAUUUCAAAAAUUGAAAAUUAACGAUAACUCUUCAAUUGUCAGCAACAACAUAUGUUAGAAUUCAAUGAUGGGAUUUAGGAUUCAAUUAAGAAAUUAAGAUUUUGAAGGAAGAUCACUUAUGGGUUGGAAAAAGAUGAUUGCUUCAAAUAAGACAAGAAAAUCAAUUGUUUGAAAUGAUCUCAAAAAAUAAUGAAAACAACAUUUUCUUAUUUUUUAAUCACAUAUUUCACAUCAAUACACGAUUCAAAAAUGUAUUUUACCCCAAAAUAGGGCUCAAACAAGGGCUAACUAUGAUCAAAUUUAUCUUCAGUGUGACUGUCUGUGAUCAAGUAUGUAUAAUUUGUGAUUGUAUGUAAUCAAAUCACUAAACUAGCGUUAUCCGUGAUUAAUUGUGAUCAAGUUCAUCUUCGUUGUGACUGUUUGUGACCAGGCUAAUCUCAACUAUGAUGGUAUGCGACCAAAUUGCAACUGAUCACAAUUAACAUAGAAUUGGACACAAUUGGUAACAAUUAAUACAAACUUGGUUACAGAGGGUCACCACGAAUAAAUUCGUACACACCGCAAACCAACAUUACAAUAGAUACAAUCACAACUGGUCACAAUGAAUAUAGAUUUAGUCACAACUGGUCACAAUUAAUACAUACUUGGUUACAACCGAUCAACACAAAUAAAUCUGCACAUCACAUAUCAGCACAACAAUCCAUCACCACCGCAUCCCGGAACAACAAGCCAGUUGAUAGAUUGAACAACGAACUCCCACCACCACCUUCUUCAACGUACCGUCAUCACUACCAUCGGUAUUGUACCACCAUCGCCACUACCUGCAAGCAUCACCAACACAUGCACCACAAUACACCACCACCCCCUCUAAUAAUCACUAAGAAAAUCAUCCUUUCAUUAUUGAAGAAUUAUAGAGAGAGAAUAUACAAUACUCGUUGGACAAAAAAUCAUCCUUUCACAAUUUUUAUUCGCUUUGUAAUCCCCAGAAGGUAGAUCAAACCACCUAGAUCACAUAGUGCUAACACCACUUGCACCACCGUACUGCCGCCACCACCUACACUAACAACACCACACAUAGUCGAACCACCCAAAUUGCACAAUGCCAUCACAACCCAACAUCAUGCUUGAUAAUGUUGUUCCAUGGAGAUAAACACCUUGAGGAGGCAAGUUGGCCGGUGGGAGGUCAAUACGAUGGUGGGGCCUAUUGGCUGGGGUGGUGAAUCUAGAGUUUUCACCUAAGGUCGCUACCAAUUUGACCAUUUUUUGUUAGGGAUAUGCGGUGGCAUGAAGUUGGCAGGAUAAUGGGCCAAUCGGGGGAGCAAGUUCACAGUAGAUUAAGGCCGUGGGUUGUGGUUGGGAUAUGUGAUCAGUGGUUCUUCCAUGUCUUGCUUUUCUCUCAAAGCAGCAGCUGCAAUUCAUUUGCUUGCAAUUAGAAAGAGAAAAAAGCCUGUAUAAUGGAAGUUAUUUAAGUUGGUAUGGUGGGGUGGGGUAACCCAUUUGCAAAUGUUUAAAAGAGAGGGUGGGUGGUUGCAUAAUAUGUAUUUUAUGAUUUCAAAUUAAAAAGUAAAUAUAACCUGAUUUUUGAAAGAAAACGAUUUGUACAUGAAUUUUAAAAUUGAAAAUUAAAAGGUAGGGGUUAAACCCUUAAAAUUGUCGACCUCUCCACCCUUUUCACAGAUUUCAGGGUUCCAAAAUCCAUUCUUUUAUUAAUACUAUCUUUGGUUUAUUUUACUUUUUGCUGUUGGAACCUAAUUGAGUAUAAAAAGGUAAUUUGUUUUCUUUAUCCUAUUAUCUUUUGUUCUAAGAAUUUCAAUUUCCCUUUUUUUUUUUCUUGUUAGAUUAUUCCGAUGAAAUCAGCAUUUUAGAUUAUAAGUUAAAUUACUAUGUUAUUCCUUCAAAUAUAAUUCACAAUAACUUCGGCAGAUAAUAAAUGUGUAUGCACAGUACAUAUACAGGAAAUUAUUGUUUGAUUGUUCUCCAACUUCUCUUUCAAUUCUAGUCUUCUGCUAUUGAAAACAGUCGGUUUUAUGUUAUUAGAAGAAAGAUGAAGGUGAAGAAGCAGAAGAGACAUCGCAGUGCCUUUAAAUUUUACACAGCUUGCUUCAGGUUUUAGAGAGCCUUUCAAAGUUCUUUGUGAUGGAACUUUUGUGUACCAUUUUCCGGCGAACCACAUCACUCCAGCUGAUACUGCUCUAGCUAAUAUCCUUGGCGCCACAGUCAAAAUCUUUACUACGAGGUUAAGAAAUUUGACGUAGCAAUGUUCCCCAUUUAUUCAAAUUUAUUACAUUGUGACGCCGAGUAGGAUAGUGAUUAUCCUAUUGACUUGUUGUAGCAGAUGAUUCGCAAGAAAGAAACGAAAGGAAACGCCCAUCAAUCAGAGAAAAUACUUUGAAAUCAACUCAAUAUUAUUAAUAAUGUAGAAUAACCAAAAUUAACCCACAAACCGGGUUAAAUAGCUGCAAAAUACGAAAUUAUAAUAAAAUUACCAAAAAUGAAAAAAUCCCGAAAUUAUACCAGAAUAAAAUAUUAAGUAAAAGAAGUAGGUUGCCAAAAAUUUGGCUCAAUUCGAGUUUUCUAACAUAUGGAAAAAGGAAACAAAAUAUUACCAUAAAUAGCAAAAAAUAACUAAAAAUUGAAUUUUGGAAAGGAAAACAGUGGAUUUGGGUUCGAAAUUGAUGCCCACCGAGCAUAGCUCGGUGACCACGACGUCCGCACCAAAGAGAGCUUUCCGGAUUGGGUCAUAAUAGUGAUUCUAAUAACCGUAGCCAAAGUUAUGGUCAAAUUACCAAAAACGUGUUAAAUUCCCUCAAUUAAGGAAAUAAUUGCGAUUCACUUCCCAUCUUUGCUAGAUCCGCCAUCUCAUGGUAUCUCAGCGCCGUCAUCGUGUUAUCUGACAAAUCAGCAUUGCUCGACUCGGAUCCUCCUGCAUCACAUUGUUUGCGUCGCAUCUUAUGUACUUAGAAGGUUAAGUUUAUUUCCCUCUUUAGCAAACACUUUAUUUGUUAAUUCAAUAAAUUUUCAACUUUUUGGUCACUUAUUUGUUCUUGCAGAAUUGAAAAGCCUUGGUGAUUAGUAGUCUGAUUCGCUUAAUGCUUUGCCUAAUCUUAUAACUGCAAGGUCAGCAAUCUUUUCUUUCCGUCUCUCAAUCUUCUGUUAUUGAUAUGAUGGUCGAUGAAUGUUUUUUAUCCGAUACUUCUAUGAUAGCAGUCUUUGUCAAACAAAUACAGACCUGAUCCUUUCUAUGCAUGGAAUCUGUUCCAUAGAUGUGAUCAUGACGAGGAAGAGUGUCGUGGCCUGCAUAACGGAAGUUAUAGGAGAAAAUAACACUGAGCAUUUCUUUGUUACAACUCAGGAUCAGGGUCGGUCCUGUGAUUGUCAGGGCUCGAGGCGAAGUUUCUAAAUUAGGCCCUCAAAAAAGAUUUGAUCUUGUUAGCCAUUGUUUGCUGAUUGUGGCGAAGAACAAAGAAGAGGAGAAGACGGGCACGAAAGAGAAGGAAGAAGAGAAAAAGCCCAAUUACCAAAAAAAAAAAAAAAUGAUGUUCCUUUUACAUCAUUUCACACCCAAAAAAUAAAAAAAAUAAAUAAAAAUUGGGCCAAAUAAGGCCCCUUCAGUUUUGGGCUUGAGGCAAUGGCCUCAUUGGCUUCUGCACAAGACCGGGCUUGCUCAGGAUGCUGUGUUAAGGAGGAAGUUGCAAGAGGUUUCUACAGCUUUUUACCUUCUAAUAUAUGUUACUUAUGCUUAAUACUAUUUGUAUUUUGAUGGUUCAAAGAUCAUAGUUCUCUAAGAGAUCGGGGUUCUGUGUGUGUGUGUUCAAGUUUAAGUUAUUAUCAGAUUGAUGUAAUGUAACCCAUAUGAACGUACAUACAUCAGUACCUCUUUUAAUUUUAAACAACUCAUGGUGGCAGAUGCCUGGUGUGCCCGUUGUAUAUGCUCUUAGAAAUUCUCUUUUUCUUGAGCGGCCAUCAGGAGUUCAACACCAGUUUGCCAAGAUUGCUGAAGAAGAACGAUCACAAUGAGUUUGGUCAAUUGAUUUGAGAGUUUUGUCAAUUAAUGGUGAAUGAAUUUGUACGAAAAUUGAUCUUAGUGUCAUGAGGAAUCUUUCAACAAAACUCAUUUAAUUAAUAAAAGGUUCCACUUUCCGUUCACAAAAAAAGAUUGCAAAAAAGUGGAAUUAUACAAGCACAUAAAAUUGAUAUAAGCACAAAUAAUUUCAGUUUUGUUAAUAUAAUAAUGAUUGUUUAAUUGUAAACUGAAUAUUUGUGUUUUGUUAUUAUAUAUUGCCUAUUUAAUUAAAAAAAUCAAUUAGGGUUUUGCAGAUUAUGAAAUGAUUUUUUCAUCCAAAAUGAAAGUUCGUACCUAAUUCUAGUUCUAGUGGUGUAUCUAGUUCUUCUAGUUCUAAUUCGUACGGUUUUUUUAAUAUUAUUUAAUUAAAUAUUAAUAAACAAUCUCGCUAUCAUGGACGUUGGCUAUCGAUAGUAAGCUUUGAACGCUCGCGAUCAGCUCUAGCCAAACUCGACCCCCCUAGAUUCNNNNNNNNNNNNNNNNNNNNNNNNNNNNNNNNNNNNNNNNNNNNNNNNNNNNNNNNNNNNNNNNNNNNNNNNNNNNNNNNNNNNNNNNNNNNNNNNNNNNNNNNNNNNNNNNNNGUCCGCUUACUUUUGCUUGAACUAUAGUAUAUGGUAGAACAAAUCUACUGUGAAAGGACUUCUAUAAUAGCCUCACCCAAUUUUCUAUUUGCAUAUCUUAGAACGCCUAGUUAUACAUGUCUCUAAUAAUUGAUAGUGUGUUUUAUGGACAAUAAUGUAACGACCCGGCCCCUAUGCAAAAGCCGUUAACUUACAUAUUAUCCACUUUGGGAGAGCCAAGCUAGAGCUAACAGUACGUAAGUUAACGACUUGAGCAUAGGAGUUGGGUCGUUACAAAGAAGCUGUAUAAAAGUGUAACUAAACAAAAGAGUAAGAUUGCUUGUGCUUCAUAAGGCACUCUGAGUUCAUUUUGUUGGGAAUCUACUUAUACAUGCACAGCGGAAUUUAAAAUAUAUUUCGAUUCCCAUCCAAUAGAUCUCAUUGUGUUUGGUUAGGAAUUGUCAUAGGAUUGUACCUUUUCCAGAUCUGCAAUCCUUUUGCUUUUCUUUUCGUUCCACAACUUUGAUUCGCCACCACAGCUGUCCAAUUGUCCAGCCUCCAACGGUGAUCCACACAGAGAAUUUGAUUGCAGCCUCUAGGGUUUUCUCUUGUGCUAGCAAGAAUAAUGAAAACCUUAAUGGACCUCAAACCCUAGUUAUGUAUUUAUAUAAACCCAAAUAGGCUCGGCCCGGUCCGGCCCAAUAAUUAAUUAAUCCAAUUAAUUAAACCCGGUCCGUGAAUUAAUUCUACAAGAUCUUUGCAUAUCCCACUGUCGUGUUGGGGUGCAUGUGCACGCACAUUGGUGUUGGAGGGGAAGGGGGUUUCUAGUGGCAUACAAGCUGAUCAGUAAUCAUUUCUUGUUCUGUAAUUUUUUUAUUUUUUUUUUGCUAGUGAGACUAUGAUUUUGAUUGCUAGAAAGAAAGACAGUCGAUAACACUGAGAAACGGGAGUAGAAAACGCAAGAGAUCAAAGAAAAGCAAAAAUGUCACCGAGGCAACUGUUUAAUGGCAUAUGGAAUGUCUAAUCCUCAGAAUUUCUGAUUUUUCCUGGAGCUUGUUAGCUAUUUAAGUCCAAAAUUUAUGGACACGUGAUAGGGCUGCAUUAUAUGCGAGUCAAAAGUCCACUUGUAUUAGAUAUUUGAGCGAUACUUGGCAUACAUGCAUACACUUGCUAAUACAAAAAGACAUUGAUCUUCUAUCACUUGCUAAGUUGCUAAGUUAAGAGCCUCUUUGACAAUGCUUAUUAUUUUAAAUUUUAGAGAGCAUCUUGGAGUAUAAUUAAGAUAAAGAACAGCAUUUUUUAUUUUAUUUUUUAUUUUUUAAUUUUUUUUGUACCAGUCCAAUAACAAUGUAUAUUUCAUCAUUAUUUAUUUAUUUAUUUAUUUAUUUUGUGGAUAAACUAUUAUGGCUCAUUAUAAUUCCUCAUUUUUUUCACUUAAUUUCUCCCUUGUUUACAUAGUCAUUUUCCAUUAUUUCAAAAGAAGUAUAUGAUAAUAUGAAUGAGAACAUUGAACUUAUUUUAUAUAGUGUGUAUUUGGCUCUUCAUAUUUCCAAAAUAAGGAGAAUGAGGCUAUUAAAGAGCCUAGCAGAGAUCCUCUUAGUAUAAACAUGGCUUUGAAGCUAGCCUUUUGGCAAACUGUCUUUAAGGAAUUUAUGCAAAUUCUCUCUGGAAUUAAGAAUGGUUUCUUCCCAUUCUCUCACUUUAUUUCUCUUCUUUUACUUGGCCUUUUCUCUAAGUUUCACUUCUCUUGUGUUGACUCAAGCCUCUCCGUCAUUUAUUGUUAAUUAUAUAAUCAAAUGAUUGAAUUUGUCUUAAAAAAAUAUAUAUCUCUAUUAACAAAAAAGGAUCGUGAUUAUUAUACUAAAAUGAUAUCAACCAUCGAUUUUUCAGAACAUCCCAGUUUUUGCUUGCUUGCUAAACUCUCUUGUUCAUCUAAAUUCGAUGAUUUGGAGGCACAAACUUUGACAACCAUGGUGCAUUACCUUUUUCAAUCCAGUAAGGCAGAUAAAUUUCUUACUUCAGGCUCUCAAUUCUUAGAGAAGGAAAUAAGUUACAUCUUAGAUUUAGAAGAAAAUAAUCGAGCAUUUCUUCCUCAGGACAUAGCAUAAAAAAUUGCUAUCAAAGAAAAAACACGAGAAAAAUAUUUCCCUAAUCGUUUGAACUGUCAAAAAAAAUCAUUCGAAACAGUUCUUUCCUAUUGUAAUGCAGAGCUAUUAAGGGAGAAAUCAAAAAUUGCCCAAAAUCCCACGAAGAAAUGAUUAGUUUCUCAAAGUUUGCCUUAG
rnacentral:lncRNA from 1 species